AGAUGAUUGGAACGCUCUUGAGUUUGAAUCUGAAAGGUUUGAAUCAGUUGGUGAUGGUGGAUACAAUGUUGCACAGUGCAUGAGGGCUGUGGCAGAACCUAUGCUGGUUAGUCACUUUGGUGAAGACAUCAUUGAAGAGGUUUUCACCCGCUACCAACAAAUCUUGGCUGAUCGUAUGGCCAAGGAGAAAACUAAGUUCUUCAAUGUUACCAUACUUUUGACUAGAAAAACAUGAACAACAACUUUGCGUCUAAGGAGAAAAUUGAGUUCAUCAAUAUCACUGUAUCAUUGACUAGAAAAGAAUAAGCAAGAAGUUUGUAUCUGUGUGUAUGGUUUGCUGGUUUGGUUUUUUGGCAAUUAUGUAUAACUAGCAAAAAUAUUAAGUUGGAAUAGAAUAAAAUUAUUGUGUUUGUUAAGCCAUUUUUUUUAUAUUUAUAUUUUAUUAUGAAAUAAUUUUUUUGGCAAUUUAAUAGUAAAAAAUAAAAUUUUAUACCAUCCACUACAAGAAAAAUAUGAAAUAGAAACCAAUUUAGAGACAAAAAAUAAUUAGUUGCUAUAGUAACUAAAUUAGAAACCAUUUUAGAAACAAAAAAAAUGAUUUCUAAAUUAGUUUAUAUUAUUGCUAAAUAGUUUCUAAAUUGGUAUCUAAUUAACAACCAAGGUUUUAACUACCAAUUAUUUAGUUUCUAAAUUUGGUAGAAAAACCUUGGUUGCUAAUUAGAAACCAUUUAACAAUAAUAGAAACUAAUUUAGAAACCAAAUUGUUUUGAGUUUCUAAAAUGAUUUCUAAUUUAGUCACUAUAACAAAUAAUUAUUUUUUGUCUCUAAAAAUUAGUUUUCAUUUUAUGAUUUUCUUGUAAUGAUUUUUUUUUUGAAUAAAAUAAAUAAUAUUUUUUUUAGAUGUGAACUGAAUGUAAUAAAUUUUAAGGUAUAUUUUUUUAAGUAGGGGUUGCACUAACACAAGUCUCCUAUGAUACAAAUUAUUGUAGGUUCUGUCACUUGGACAAAUCUUAGAACAACACCCCUUCUAUGUCCAAUGAAAGUCAUUGCUCUAGGCCAUAGGCCUUUCAGAUCACCCAUUGACCCCGUGCAGAUAAGUAACAAAUUUUAAGGUAUUAUUGUCAUUCAUUAUGUUAUAAAAUGAUUUGCUUAAGGUUGUAUAAUGAUUAAUGGUAAAUAUUUAAAGUGUUGGAGAUCAUCGACUAUGGAGUAGGACAUUUAAUAGUAUAUUAAGAAGUAAAUUUUAAGCUUAACCUAAUCUUAUAAAACCGGCUUAUAAGGUUAAGUUUGCACUUACUUAUAUAAUAUGAAAUAUCAUACAUUUUAAUCGACGUGGGAUCUUUAACAUACCCUCUUACGUCGAGAUUGUCAAUUUGUGCGUUAGACUAUAAAUUUAUGGUGGUCUGAUAGCAGCCCAAUAGCGGGUGGUCUGAUAAGUUUAACAAAUUCUCACUAGAAUAUAAUAAGCGAACUUUAAGUCUAAAUCAACCUUAUGAAACCAACUUAUAAGGUGAGUUUUACAUUCAUUUAUAUGUCCUACUCUUUAGUUAAUAUAGGACAAACAACCUAACAUAUUAAUUAGAAAGUUAAAAUAAUAAAAAAAUUCUUUAUAAUUCCUAUAAGAAAAUGUAAAUUUGAAAAAAAGAUCAUAGGUAGUGACAAUCUUGUUCCAUCACCCAUGAUGAUCUGAUAUGUAGGAUUUCUUCAUAGAGAAUCAUUUCAUUGGUAUAAUAGGUUUCCAUCUAGUAUGUUUGUAGAAUUAUUUAUGAAUAAGUAUAAUCUACCUUUGUGUCGUUUUUGUUAAAAUACGAGUUUUGGUCUAAUCUCUACAUAUUUUUGUAUUUUCUUUAUUUUUUCUUUUUUUAAUGUGAUGACAGAUGAUUGUUGUAACUUGUGUCAGCCUAACUGAGAUGUAAAGUUCAUAAAGAUACUUAACAUGGAAGUUUUUAUAAAAAAAAAAAAAUAGGCUUCCUUUGCAACUUUUAUGAGUUUUCUGAUUUCUCAUAUUUUGAAAAAAUAAAAUAAAAUUCUUGCAAUGGUAUGAUCAAUUUAAAAGUCAUUUUUUUAUAUAGGUUAUAUUACUUUAGACAUCUCAUAUAGUUAAACUAAAGUUCCACAAUCUAAUUAUUAUUAUUAUUAUUAUUUUUAUAUUAUUAUUACUUUUUAUUAUACAAAAUAUAUUUUAUUUACUCCUAACAAAUUUAUUCAAUUAUGUUUGUGCUCAUUGACUUUUUUUAUUGGGCAAAAAGCUUAAACAUAUAUAAUGGAUUGAGUUUUCAUUAUAAUAAUAUACUUGGAACCAGAGUAUAUUCCGCAUUCACUUCACGAGAGUAGUCCGUUCUUCUUAUUAUUAUUGCACUGAAAUAUUAAUUUUUAUUAAAUUAAUUAUUUAAAAAUGUUAGGAUAAGAUAAUAAACUGAACUGACUUAGUAAGAACAUGCAUACAUUCAUAAUAUUAGUAAAAGAAAGGUGGUGGAUAAUUCACAAUCAAAUGAAAAAACCUAAUUAUUUUUUAAUUAAAUCAUACAUUUAUACUACAAUUUUUAUCACUGUGUAUAUUUCUUGUUUUAAUAUUAAUCCAUCUUAAUAUUAUUGGAAAGUGUGUGAAACUUGUCCAAACAAGAUACAAAGACUUAGAAUUAUUUUUCAUGGUAUUAUACACAUGUGUAACAUUAUUAUUUCUCAAUUUCAGGAAUCAUGUUCUUCAAUCAACCAUGCAUAUUCAUAUUAAAAUAUUGAGAGUGACGCUUAUCAAUUAAACAUGUUAGAUAAUUUCUUAAAAAAUAAUCACAGUGAAGAUGCUCUUAUUAAAAAAUUAACACAUGAACAAUAAAUAUUUUAUUGAUAUAUGCCCCAUUUUGUUGAGUAAAUUGUAGAAACUUUACAAUAUUAUUUUCAUAUUCCUCACUUAUUUGACUUCAAUUUAACUUAUUUGAUUUCAAUUUAUUUAACUUCAAUUUAUUGUGUAAUAUUAUUCUCUUCUAAAAUUGUACGCAUCAUUAAAAAAAUAUUAAAUAAAAAUUAAUUUUAGUGACAAAAAAUCAUUAAUUACUAUGUUGACUGUAAGAGGAAGAAGAUGAGUAAAGGUGAACUGUAAAAAGUGAAUAUUAUUCAGUAAAAGUCUUAUUACAUAGGGUUGAACCCUUUAGUUAUAUAUGGGAAGGGCCUAUGUAAAUAACCCACUACAACAGAAACUCACUGCUAAGUAACAGCACUCCCAGUAUUAUAUCUAACACCCCCCAUAAACUUAUGGGUGAGUUAUCAACCACCCUAAGUUUAUCUUUGAAUUUCUGAAACAUUGUUCCUGAUAAAGGUUUAGUUAGAACAUCGGCGAUUUGAAAUUGAGACGGGAGAUGAACAACCAACAACUGCUUAUGCUGAACACGGUCACGGACGAAAUGUAGGUCAAGCUCGAAAUGUUUAGAACGGGAAUGCAGAACAGGAUUGACAGCAAUAUGAACAACACCUAGAUUAUCAGAAUGGAUUAUUGGAGUGGAAGAAGGGAUGCGCAGUUCUGUCAGUAGAGACUGGAUCUAGGUAAUAUCAGCAAGGGCAGCAACAAUGCUUCUAUACUCAGCCUCAGUACUGCUUCUGGAGACAACUUUUUGUUUCUUUGAAGACCAAGACACAAGAUUGCGACCCACAAAUAUGCAAUAGCCAGUGGUAGACUUGCGAUCAUCCAAGUCUGUGGCCCAGUCGGAAUCACUGAAACCAGUGAUAGAAUAGUUUGGUGAAGGGGUUAAGAGAAGACCGUGAGUUGAUGUGCCAGCCAAGUAUCGCAGAAUACGUUUCACAACUUUCCAAUGAUGAAUUUGAGGCUUAUGCAUAUACUGGCAAACACGGUUAACCGAGAAGGAGAUUUCAGGUCUGGUAACAGUCGCAUAUUGCAAGGCACCAACAAUAGACCGAUAUAGAGUUGGAUCAUCAACAGAAGCAGAUUCAUCAGCAGUGAGCCGUAAAGAAGAGAGCAUUGGGGAGGGUUGGGGCUUUGAGUUGACCAUGUUGGUUCGACGUAGGAGAUCGUUUAUAUACUUUGCUUGAGAUAGAUGAAUAAAGUUGUUUUUGAGCCAAGAAACUUCGAUUCCCAAGAAGUAAUGCAGCGAUCCAAGAUCCUUCAAGGCAAAGGAUAAGCCUAACUGUUUGAUGAAUUCCUGCACUAAGACCAAAGAACUGCCAGUAACUAAGAUAUCAUCAACAUAAAUUAAAAUAAAGAUAGUGUGAGAUUGAGUAAACCGUGUGAAGAGAGAGGUGUCACUCUUAGCAGCAACGAAGCCUAGACGAAAAGAGUUGCGAAGAGCUUGUCAAACCAGGCACGAGGUGCCUGUUUGAGACCGUAUAUGGCUUUAUUCAGUCGACAAACAAGAGUAGAAUCAGUGGAGAAUCCAGGUGGUUGUUGCAUGUAGACAGGAGAUGAUAAGUCACCAUGGAGAAAGGCAUUGUUGAUAUCAAUUUGAUGAAUUGGCCACCGUGAAGUUAGUGCAAUAGUCAGGACAAUUCAAAUAGUGGUUGGCUUGAUGACAGGGCUAAAAGUAUCAGUAAAAUCACAAACUUCAGAUUGUUGAAAGCCUUUGGCUACAAGCCGAGCUUUGUAGCGUUGAAGAGACCCAUCAGAGUUGUAUUUCUGUUUGAAAACCCACUUACAACCAACUAAAUUAGCACCAGCAGGCAAAGAAGUAAGAGUCCAGGUGUUAUUUUGAACAAGAGCAUGAUAUUCAGAUUGCAUUGCACGAAGCCAUUGGGGAUGUUUCAUAGCUUGUUUGUAGGUGGACGGCUGAAAAGAGUCAUUAGUCACAACAGUAUGGAGAAUUUUGGGUUUAGAUAUACCUGCCUUAGCACGAGUUACCAUGGGAUGAAGAUUGUUAACUGGAAUAGGAGAAGUAGUCUGACAAUGAUUAUUAGUAGUAGAUAUAGGUGAUGACUGAGUGGGUGUAGGUGUAGGAGAGGAACAAUUAGGAAAAGAAACCACAGUUAUAGGUGAAGAAGAAAAGGAAGAAGCAGUAGUAUUGCUCUCAUUAUGAAUAACAAAAGGAUUAUCAUGUUGGGAAAAGGGAAACAAAUAUUCAUUGAAAAUCACAUGUCUUGAGAUGAUAGUCUUCCCAGACUGAGUUAGGCAAACAUAUCCUUUGUGUGUACUGUUAUAACCAAGAAAUAAACACAAAGAUGACUUAAAAUCAAACUUAUGUUGAUUAUAAGGCCGCAAAAGAGGAUAACAGGCACACCCAAAAAUACGAAGAAAGGUAUAAUCAGGUUUAGAUGAAAACAACUUUUCAUGAGGACUUAUAUUAUCUAAAACAGGCGUUGGUAAAAGAUUAAUAAUCUGAACAGCGGAGAUAAAAGCCUCACCCCAAAAUUUGAGAGGAAGAGAAGCAGCAGAAAGAAGGGCCAAACUUGUUUCGGCAACAUGUCGAUGUUUGCGUUCGAUAGAUCCAUUUUGUUCAUGAGUAUGUGGACAAGUAAAACGAUGAGAAAUACCAUGAUCAUGCAAGACUUUUGUUAAGGAAAUAAACUCCUUAGCAUUAUCAGUUUGAAGACUUUUGAUGAGAAAACCAAUUUGUUUCUCAGCAAGUAAUUUGAAUAGCAAAAAGACAACAGUAGCUUGAGAUUUUGAAGUUAUAAGGUACAACCAAGUAUACCUAGAAAAAGCAUCAAGAAAAGCAAUGUAAUACAUAGAUCCAUCACGUGCAGUAACAUGGGAGGGACCCCAGAUAUCAACAAAANNNNNNNNNNNNNNNNNNNNNNNNNNNNNNNNNNNNNNNNNNNNNNNNNNNNNNNNNNNNNNNNNNNNNNNNNNNNNNNNNNNNNNNNNNNNNNNNNNNNAAAAGGCAAUUGAUGACUUUUGGCAAUAACACACGAAUCACAAAAGAGAGAAUUUUUAUUACACAAUAUAUUGUUCAUUCGCAUUACACAUUGAACAGUCCUAGAUGAAGCAUGACCAAGUCUUUUAUGCCACAAUUCGUACGGAGUCAUAACAGAGUUGUGAGAACUAAUAUUCACAGAGGGUAGCAAAGAGCGAUGUAAUGAGGGAAAAACAUACAAGCCAUUACGUAUGUUUCCUUGGAGAAGAAUCUCCUUGGUAUCCUGAUUUUUGACAAAGCACUGAUUAGGAUAAAAUUCAAAGAACACAUUAUUAUCACGUGCAAACUUAGAGACACUAAUAAGAUNNNNNNNNNNNNNNNNNNNNNNNNNNNNNNNNNNNNNNNNNNNNNNNNNNNNNNNNNNNNNNNNNNNNNNNNNNNNNNNNNNNNNNNNNNNNNNNNNNNNNNNNNNNNNNNNNNNNNNNNNNNNNNNNNNNNNNNNNNNNNNNNNNNNNNNNNNNNNNNNNNNNNNNNNNNNNNNNNNNNNNNNNNNNNNNNNNNNNNNNNNNNNNNNNNNNNNNNNNNNNNNNNNNNNNNNNNNNNNNNNNNNNNNNNNNNNNNNNNNNNNNNNNNNNNNNNNNNNNNNNNNNNNNNNNNNNNNNNNNNNNNNNNNNNNNNNNNNNNNNNNNNNNNNNNNNNNNNNNNNNNNNNNNNNNNNNNNNNNNNNNNNNNNNNNNNNNNNNNNNNNNNNNNNNNNNNNNNNNNNNNNNNNNNNNNNNNNNNNNNNNNNNNNNNNNNNNNNNNNNNNNNNNNNNNNNNNNNNNNNNNNUUUAUUGAAGGAAUGACGGGCAGAGCCACGGCCGUCACGCAAAUUGGUUCCACGAAACGAAGAUCGUGAAGGGGCCGAAGGGUUCCAUUGAGUGGAUGCAGUAUUAGCUUGAAUGAAAGGACGAUCAAGAGACUUAUGUUUGUCAAACCUCUCUUCUUGAGCCAGGAGCAAAGCUUCAAUGUCCUCAACAGUGUAGGGAUCAAGACGGGACGUGACAGAGGUGAUGAAUGAAUCAUACUCCUCAGGAAGACCAUCCAAGAUGGCUUCAAGAUGAUCUUCUGUGGAAACCUUAGAGCCAACAGCCGCAAGAGAAUCGAUAACCCGCUUGAUGUCAAGAAGAUAAAUGCUGAUAGACCGAUCCCGCUUAGGGGUUUUCAACUGGGUUUUGAGCUUGCGAACAUGCGCACGGGUAUUGGACGCAAAAUAGACAUUCAGCUUGUCCCAAAUUUGAUAGGCCGAUCGUAAACCCACCAUUUUGGUUAACAAAGAACUCGACAUAGAAGCCAACAGCCAAGCAACCAGAAGAUUAUCUUGUUGUUUAUGGAGAAGAAAAAGGGGAUUAGGGUUUUCUUUACCAGAAGAGAGAAAUGGCGAAGGAGUGGAAAACGAUUCCAAAAAUUUGAGUAAAUUGAGGCCUUCAACCUGCGCAAGAACCUGUUGACUCCAAAUCAGGAAGUUGUCAUCAGUGAGUUUCAGGGAGAGAGACGUAGGAAAGGUAUGAAGUUGAGAAGAAGGAGAGGAAGAGGAUGAAGGCGUUUCGUUCUCGGAAGCAGGAGAAGAUGAAGAAGACAUGAUCAGAUUCAAGAAAAAAAGGAACCUGCUCUUGAUACCAUGUAAGAGGAAGAAGAUGAGUAAAGGUGAACUGUAAAAAGUGAAUAUUAUUCAGUAAAAGUCUUAUUACAUAGGGUUGAACCCUUUAGUUAUAUAUGAGAAGGGCCUAUGUAAAUAACCCACUACAACAGAAACUCACUGUUAAGUAAUAGCACUCCCAAUAUUAUAUCUAACAUUGAUUAAAUUAUAUAGUAUUUUAGAAUCACUACAAGAAAAUCAUUAAAUAGAAAUCAAUUUUAGUGACAAAGAAUAAUUAGUUACUAUGAAUAAAUUAAAUACUACUUUAGAGACUAACAAAAUUAUUGGUAUUUAAAGUAGUUUUUAUUAAUAAUAAAAUUUAUAAACUAGUUUCUAAAUUAAUAUCUAAUUAGUUACAUAAGAUUUUAGUUACUAACUUCAAAAUCUAAUGUAGUUGAUAACUAAUUAAAUAUUAAUUUAAAAAUUAGUUUAUAAAAUUUUAUUAAUAAAAGAAAUUGCUUUAGAUACCAACAUUUUUUAAAUAUAUAAAAUAGUAUCUAAUUUAAUUAAUAUAAUAACUAAUUAUUAUUUUUUUAAAAUUAAUUUUUAUUUAAUGAUGUUUUUACCAAGUAUACAUUUUGGUAGUGAUCGUACUCUCAUCUCUAGAAUUUUUUUUUUUUAACUUUUGAGGAUGUUAUCUUCUUGACAACAUUUUUGCACAGUACAUAAUUUACUCUUAAAAAAAUUCUAUUGACUUAGAGGAUUGCUUUUGAUUUGACCAACUAUUUAGCAUACUAUCUCCUAGUUCUUGUUUUUCCUAUGGAAUGUUUGAAACAAUCCUUGGAAGAAGAUAUCAGCUCAAAGACUAUUUAUAGUUUUUUUUUUAUCAGCAAGAAAUAUUUAUUUAUACUCAUUGAACAAUUUCAAUAUUUCUUUUAUGUCCUCAUAACGUCCAAUUUAAACUUAAUAAUUACAUUUAAUGUAUCUAAUGCAACUUUAAAUGUUAUUCUUCUUUAGUUAAGACCGUGUCGUGUCUCUAAGAUUGCUUAAUACUACUAGAAAGAUGAGUUAUUUUGGAAAUUAUAUUAAUGGUAUGAUCAAAUAUAAAAAAUUAAGCUAAAGUUACAGAAUCAUAAUUAUUGUUAUUUUUAAUUAUACAAAAUAUAUUUUAUCUACUCCUAGCAAAGUUAUUCAAUUAUGUUUGGUUAAUGACUUUUUGUGGGCAAAAAUCUUAAACAUAUAUAAUAGUUGAUUUUUCAUUGUAAUAAUAUACUUGAAUCCCAGGGUAUAUUCCACAUUCAAUUCAUGAGAGUAGUCCAUUCUUCUUAUCAAUAAUUGCACUGUUAUAUUAAUUUUUAUUAAAUUAAUUAUUUAAAAAGUAUAGCAUCAUUCUAAUGGUUUUAAAGUUAGGAAGACCACUGAACUGACUUGGUAAGAGCAUGCGUACAUUCAUAAUAUUAGUAAAAGAAGGUGGUGGAUAAUUCACAAUCAAAUGAAAAAACCUAAAUAGUUUUUAAUUAAAUCAUACCUUUAUACUAUAAUUUUUAUCACUCUGUAUAUUUCUUGUUUUAAUAUUAAUCAAUCUUAAUAUUAUUGGACAAGUGUCUGAAACUUGUGCAAGCAAGAUACAAAAACUUAGAAUAAAUUUCAAGGUAUUAUACACAUGUGUCUAAUGAAAACAUUAUUGUUCAAAGAAAUCAUGUUAUUCAAUCAACCAUCCAUAUGCAUAGAGAUUGAGACAUUAUCACUUCACCAUGUUAAGUCACAUUAGACAAUUCCUUAAAAAAUAAUCACAAAGAAGAUGUUAUUAUAUUAUAUCAACUUCUAUUCUCUUAUUAAAAAAAAUAACACAUGGGCAAUAUUUUUUUCAUUAAUAUACAUUACAAAAAAAAACAUUAAAUAAAAAUUAAAUUUAGAAAAUAAUAAUAAUUAGUCACUAUAAUAACUAAAUUAGAUACUAAUUUAGAGACUAAAAAAUUAUUCGUAUCUAAAGUGAUUUUUAUUACUAAUAAAAAUUUAUAAAAUGAUUUAUAAAUUGGUAUCUAAAUUAGCUAUCCAGGUUUUAGCUACUAAUAUUUUAGAUUCUAAAUUAGUUUCUAAAAGACUAAUAGAGACUAAUUUAGAAUAUAAAGUAGUAACACUAAAAAAAAAUCAUUAAAUAUAAAUCAAUUUUAGAGACAAAAAAUCAUUAGUCACUAUAUUAACUAAACUAGAUACUAAUUUAAAGACUACAAAAUUAUUUCUAUCUAAAGUGGUUUCUAUUAUUAAUAAAAAACUAUAAAAUGAUUUCUAGAUUGGUAUCUAUAUUAGCUACCUUGAUUUUAGCUACUAAUAUUUUAGAUUCUAAAUUAGUCUCUAAAAGACUAAUAGAGACUAAUUUAGAAUAUAAAGCAUAUUAGAUACCAAUUUAGAAAUUAUUUUAUAAAUUUUUAUUAAUAAUAGAAACUAGUUUAGAUACCAAUGACUUUUUUUAGUUUAUAAAAUGGUCUCUAAUUUAAUCAAAUAAUAACUAAUUAUUUUAAUCUUUAAAAUUAAUUUCUAUAUAAUGAUUUUCUUGUAGUAAUAUACGUAACAUUUUGUUGAGUAAAUUGUAAAAAAAGUUCAACAUCAUUCUCAUAUAAUCUCACUUAUUUUACUUGAAUUCAUUCAAUUUCUAUCAUUAUAUUAACUAACACAAGAAUUUGGUUUGUGGAUGAAUAUCUCAUUUUAUUAUUUCUUUUUGAAAAGAAAAAAGGUGUGGCUAUAUUCUCUUAGGAAGACUCACUUUUUUUUUAUAUUUGAUUAUAAUGAAAAUUUUAAUAAAAAAAUGUUAUAAUUAACAAAAUUUCAACAACAUUUUGUAUUUGACUUUAAAUAACAGAAAAUGAAAGUAAAACAUAAAAUAAACCAUAAAGUAUAUGUUCAAAGAUCAUUACAAAAUAUAAUCAACUCAAAUUUCAUAAAAUAUAUAUAAAAUAUUGAUUAAAAAUAAUAAUUAACUAUAAAAAGUUAUUAAACUGAUAAAAUUUAAUUUUCAAAUAUCUCUUUGCAAUUAGAUUAUGAAUUUAAUUAUGCAACAUCAUUGAUCAGAAUUUUAACACAUAAAAUAUGUUUACUUUAUUGCAAAUAUUUACAAAUAUUGUUGCAAAACUUGUAAAAAAAUAAAUAAAUAUGAUAAGAGAUAUGAUGAUAAUUUAUUUUAUAUUGGAUCAUCUAAUUCGAGUUAUAUCGAUUUUCUUUCAUAAAAUUCUUAAAAGAUUCCAUUAUGUAGUCUAAAAAUUAUACAUGUAUUGUCUCUUAUACUUUUGAUUUAUAUAAAUACAUAUAAAGUUGUUGAAUCCAUGCUUCAUGUAUAUGAUAAAUCCAACUAUUUCUAAAAUACUUUUUUUUAGAAUUGAAAUGUAUAAAGAUUAGAAGAGUUUAGAAAAAAAUAGUACUUUUCAUAAACAAUUAAUUUGUAACAGUAGUUCCAACAUCAUUCAUAAUUGUAAUUAUAAAGAUUUGAAGAAUGGUAGUUAUAGGUAAAAUAGUGAGAAGUUAUACCUAAUUGAAUUGAAGUUGAGUUGUUAAGUAGUCACAUUCCAUUCCACCCUUAUCUUAAGCUGGGGCCUUACAUGUCCCUGAAAAAACUAAUGGUGGAUCAUCCUCCAGCCACAUAAAUCUGCUACGUCUAUAUAGCCAUUAUAUUUCCCAAUCAACUAAUAUCUCUUUACUCAAUCUGAUUGUGUUCUCAUCAAUAAUUGAAAUCAGAAUAUAAAAAAUUAUAAACUUUAUUUUAUUUUAUUUUUUAAAACUAAUUGUAAUUUUUUUCAAUUAAUUAAAUAUAUAUAUAUAUAUAUAUAUAUAUAAUUUUUAUAACAAAGUUAUUGAAACUUUCGUUUCAUAAACUUCACAGUAAUUAGUGCGAAUUAAUCCUAGGCAUGAUGAGAUAUUAAAGAUUCCGCGAUGAAAUUAAUUUUUUUUUCUAUCUAUUUAUAUAGAAAGACCCAAAAAAUCUUUUGAUAGAAUGUUACUAUUUUAAAACAUAUCAAUACUUUAAAGUAAUUGUAUUCUUCCUUUUUAUGGUAUAACGUCAUCUUUUGAAAUUUUAGUGCAAGUCCAGGCAAUUAAAGAGUUUCAAAUUGCAAUCCCAGAACCAAUAAUUGUUACUACAUUUGCAAUAAUGUUAUGCUAUCUAUAGUCUAAAUAUCCUUUUAAAAUAUCAAUAGUGAAAAGGUAAAAUUGAAUUCACCCAAGAAAAUAUUUAUUAUUUUAAAUUGAUUAAGCUUUCUGUCAUAAUUUUUUUUUAUUGGAUGAUAUGACGUAUGAGAAAUUAUACUAUAUUUCAUGAUAAAAUUGAUGUUUCUAAGACUAUUUCGGUAAUUAAAGAUUUAACCUGUUUAGUGAAAAAUUCGUCUAAAGCCUUUAAUGAAUAAUGAUAUGUUGAAUUUUGACGGGAUUAAAAUUUUUUUGUAUUAAUAUUCGUACUAGUAAAGUUCUUCGUCUUUUUCUCGUUAGAUGGGAGUUCCAUUCACUAGGCUGAGUUAAAAUUAACACUGAUGGGGCUGCUAGGGGAUAAUCUUAGUCUUGUUACGUGUGAAGGUAUUUUCCGUGGGAGUAUGAGAGAGUUUAUUGGUGUUUUCUCUGCGUUUCUUGAAGUUCAGAUUGCUGGAUUGCUAAAUUUUAUGGAGUUAUACCUGUUAUGGAGGAAGCUCAAAAAAUGAGGCUUACUCAUAUUUUUCGUGAAGGGAAUGAGUGUGCUGAUAAGUUGGCUAAUUUAUGAUUUAUUCAUAGAGAAUAAUUUCAUUGGUAGAAUAGACUCUCAUAUAGUUUGUUCUUAAAAUUCUUCAUGAAUAUGUAUAGUCUACCUAUGUGUCGCUUUUAUUAACAUAUGAGUUUUGCCCAUAUAUUUUUUUGUAUUUCUUUUUUCUUUUUUUAAUAAUAUUUUUUUAUGUGAUGACAAAUGAUUAUUAUUAUUUGAGGUGUUAGCUUAACUGAGAUAUUAAGUUGCAUAAUAAUACCUAAUAUCAAAGUUUUUAUAAAAAAAAUCUAAAUUAAAAUAUCAUGAGUGAAGCCAUUGCAAUCAGAGUAACACAAAUAGUAUAAGAAAUUCCCAACAGAAUAAAUUCAAAAUCAAUUUAGAAGUCAAACAGAAGCAAGUUUAUCAGCAUUUGGAACAAAGGAAAAACAUAAAUGGAUACAUUGCAAUUUCAGCUACAAUAUCAAUGUUUUUGGACUCUCCUAAAGUGAAUUUAUUUUUUAUCACUAAAUAAUAAGACAUUUAAAGAUGUUUCCAUCCAUAUGUACGAAAAAAAAGAGGCCAAUUACUUCUAACCCAAAAAAAUUCCAGCUCAAGCCAACAACAAAACAUAGAUUGUUUCUUCCUGCACCUCCAUAUCUUCUUUUCUUCUGCCACCUCCAUACACAUCAUGAAAAUACAUUUUUAUCAUUUUUUUGUCAUCCUCAUAAAUUAGUUUCCAGAUUAUGUAAUCCGGAACACAUUUGAAAAAAGACUUCCGGAUUACAUAAUCUGGAAGUUAAAUAAGACUUCCGGAUUAUGUAAUCUGGAAAGUAAUCAUGCAUAUCAAAAAAGACUUCCGGAUUACAUAAUCCAGAAGCUAAAUUAUAAAUUUGAAAAAUGACUUCCAAAUUAUGUAAUCCGGAAUAUUAUAGAGGGGCAUUUUUGGAAAUUAAAAAAUUUAUGGAGGUGAGAGAAGAAGGUAUGGAGGUGCAGGAAGAAAUAGUCCAAAACAUAACAAAGAUAACAAAGAGGAACAUUUGCUUGUAAUGAAAGUGUUCUCACAAUUUAAAAUUGGAUCCUCUUGUGGAAAAGGUCUCUUUAUUCCUUAUUCAUAUCUUUAUUUUAACUUCUUUAUCUUUUAGUAUUUAUUUCAAUCUUAUUUAAAAUAAAAUAUUUAAUUUUAGAGAAACUAGAAAACAAAUUGUCUAUAACUUGAGUACUGUUUUAGAAGAACAUGGAAGUAAUUAUGUUACAAAUAUAUUAAAGAUAUUUGUGUUUUGUAAAUUUAAAUGAUUCAAAUUUUUACUUUAUUUUAUUUUUUAUUUAAUAAUUUUCUUAUGAAAAAUUAAUAAAAUUAUAUAAAGUAUUUAAGAAAUGUUUGAGUCCGUUUACAGGAAAUACUCUAAUAAAAAUGAUAAAAGAUAAAGAAACCUAAACAGUUGUAGAAAAAGAGAUUUGUAAUUUUUUUUCAUUCUUUCGCUUCAUGACCUUUAGCUGCAUUUUUCCAUUGCCAUGGGCCAAAUGUGAAAUUCAUUUCAAAGCCGGCAAUUUCUCCCUCCACCAUAUCAUAUAAAAAAAAUCACCCAAUCAAAAAUUUUAAAUCCAACUUUACCCUUGUCACAUAUAUUUACUUACGGAUGUUAAUAUCCGGAAGUCAUGUACUUGUCUAUAGAUAUUGACAUCUGAAAAGGUCAAUUUUUUCUAUGGACAUUAAUAUUUGGAAGUGUUAUGUUUGUCUACGGAUAUCGUCAUCCAGAAUUGUACUUUUUUAUUGUAGAUAUCUUUAUCUGAAAGGCACCAUCAUGCUUCUGAAUAUAUAUAUUCGGAAGUCAAUCAUCCUCAGGUUUUAUUUUUUUGCAUUGCGAUGAUUUUGGUACUUUUAAGACAUUAAAAACCCCUAAACUAAAUCAGUUUGAAGAAUAUAAAUAAAGAGUUCGUGAUGUAAUGAGUUGCUAUGGUGUGAUAGUGGAUUGCUUGGUAGUGAAUUAUGAGUUAUGGAUAUCAAUAUUCAAAAGUAUUUUCUGAGUUUUUUCAUAUUCAAAAGUAUUUUCUGAAUUCUGAAUUUUGAUAUGUGAAAGUUAGUUAUAAGUUAUGGAUUUUUAUAUCAGAAUGAAUGGAUUAAGUUUACCAAAAUUAAUAUCUAGAAGGUUUUUCAUAUAAUAUUGUUGGUGCAUUUCAAAAAUGGUAUGGUAUAAAGUAUGUCCAACUCCCAACAAACUUUCAAAGAACUAAUCAAUUACCGACAUUUAAAUGUCAACGGGGAAUUCCUUCACCACAAAAUAUGCUCACAGUGCACCUAAUAAAUUGACAAUAACUCCUUCACCACAAAAUAUGCUCACAGUGCACCUAAUAAAUUGACAAUAACUACUUUUGCUUUGUAUCAGUGGAAGCUAUUCAAAGCAUGGAACGGAAAAAAAAAAUGCCACUAUAGUGUGUGAGAAUUAUAAAUUAGGUAAUAAAAGAAUAAUUCUUCAAAGAAAAUGAAACCGAGAAAAAUGAAAAUAGAUUAAUUACUAUAAAGAUUAAUUUAAAAUUUCGAAUAAUUAAUAGUUAAUAUUUUGAAAAUUCAUUCAAUAUAAUAAUUAAUUAUUAUUUUUAUCGUUAAAAUUAAUUUUUAUUUAAUAAUUAUUAUAAAUCAUAUUAUAUAUAUAUAUUAUAUAUUAAAAAAAUUAUUAAAUAAAAAAUAUUUUUAGAAACUAAAAAUAAUUAGUUGUUAUAUUAACAAAAUUAGAUAUUAUUUUAGAGACUAAAAAAAUUAUUGAUAUUUGAAAUUAGAUAUCAAUUUAAAAAUUAUUUAUUUAGAUACUAAUAAUUUUUUUUAAUUUCUAAUUUUGUUAAAAGAUCAACUAAUUAAUUUUAAAAAAAAUUAAUUUUUAUUUAAUGAUUAUUUUGUAUUUAUAUAUAUAUAUAUUUACAUUAUAAUAAUAUCGAUUUAGAAUGAUAAUUAGUAUUUAUUAAUUUUUAAAGUUAGUAGUUAAAAUUUUAAAAAUUAAUUAAAUAGUACUAAUUAAAGUGUAAGUGUUAAAAAAAAAUAGGAGAUAUAAUUUUAUGAAACAGAACUUUAUUGUAAUUUUUUUUUCGAAAAUUAAUUGAAAUACAUGCAUAUGGUUUCACUCACGUACUGUAAUAAUGAAGUAGAACCAAAAAUUGUGUCAUUGACUUUCAGCAAAAGGCGAUUAGUUUGUCAAAAGCCAUAAGAGAGGAAGCCAUAUUCCUGGGAAUGACUUCAACAACAUCUUCAAGUCCCUUGACUUCAAUAUUUUAAACAAAGUUUUUGAAAUUUUAACAUAUGAACUCCUCAAAAAUUAAAUAAUAUAGUUAUAUAAACUAGGACACCCACUCUCAAUCACGUUCAACAUACACAUAUCACAAUUAGAUAUGGAAAAUUACACUACAUAAUAUAUUCUACAAGAAAAAUACUAAAUAGAAAUUAAUUUUAAAAAUAAAAAAUAAUUAGUUACUAUAUUAAUUAAAUUAGAUUAUUUUAGAAAUUAAAAAAAUUAAUGAUAGUUAAAGUAUUUUUUAUUAUUAAUAAAUAAUUUUUAAAUUAUUAUUUAAUUAGCUACUAAAUUUUUAACUCGAAUUGAACAAAAAUUAUAUGAUGGGGUUAAUGUGUGGGAUGGUCUACAUGAUGAUGAUAUUGAGAAAUCCUUUUCUAAUAAAGCAAUAGAUAAUAUAUCAAAGGGAUAUGAAUGUACAAAUGUGUUUACUACAAAUGAGAUAAAAUUAAGUUUGUAAAGUAUGUUUAGAUUGUUUGUUAUUUGGUAAAUGAAAUAAUUUGUAGUGAUAACUUUUGUAAAUAUUUCGUACUGAGAAUGAGCUCUUGAUGUGGGUUAGAAAAAUUGCGUUUCACUUUGGUUUUGUUAUUGUGAUAUUGAGAUCAGAUACUUCAGCCGGCCUAUGAGGAAGGAAGACAUUUGUAUUAUUAGGUUAUGAGAGAGGAGGUAAAUACAAACGAUACAAGAAGGAUUUAUAGGUUACUGAUAGUGAAAGUAGGAAAUGUGCUUGUCUUUUUAGACUACGAGGGUAUCCAGUAAAGAGUGGUGAAUGAUGGAUAUUGAAAUUAGUUUGUGGGUCUCAUAAUCAUGAGUUGGCAAAUACAUUGAUUGAUCAUCCAUAUGCUGGUAGGUUCACAUGUAGUGAGAAAUCAAUACUUAUGGGCAUGAUAAAUAGCGCAGUGAAGGCCAUAAAUAUUUUGCUAACAAUGAAAGAGCAUAAUGAGAAAAUUGUGACCACAAUAAAGCAAGUUUACAAUGCACAGUAUUCUUACUGGAAGCAUCAAUCCAAAAUUGUUACCGGACUCACCAAUCAGGAAGAUUUACUAAUUCCUAAUCCGGGAUUUUUGCGGAUUCCAUAAUCUGGAAUACGAAAAAAAAAAUACAAAUUUUGUAUUCCAUAAAACUAUUGGACUGCAUUGUCUGGAAUAAUACAUAUGAACUGCAUAAAUGAAAAUUCGAAGAAAAAAUAAACUACAGAUUUGAAAAACAAAAAAUUGACUUACCUUCUUAUCCAACAUCAAGAGAAAUCACCCUUCUCCCACCAAGUUGCCGAGACACCACCCUAAACCACCAACAAAAAUGCAAGAUCGAAUGACGUCGCUGAGAGAGAAAUGAAGUUCGUGGAGUGUGACCGUGCAAUCUGUGGGCAAAGAAGAAGAAAAUAAUAAUGUAAGUCUUAAGUGCAUUUUAGGUUUUUUAAAAAUUAAUAGGAACAAUUUUAUUUUUGCAUAUAACAUUGUAUGGGAGCCCUAAACCCUCAUCUAAUCUUAGGGGUUAUCCCUAUCCUUUAAAGGUCCAGUCAUCCACUAUCUUAAGCUGGGCCUUUCCUGUCCUUGAAUAAACUAAUGGUGGAGAUUUACUCAUCCUCCACCCACACAAAUCUGCUAACUAAUAUCUUUUUACGGACUCUCUCAUUGGUGUUCUCAUCAAUAACUUGUAAUGAGAAUAUAAAAAAUUAUAAACUUUAUUUUAUUUUAUCUUUUAAAAAUAAUUUAGUUUAUAAAAGUUUUCAAUUCAUUAAAUGUAUUUUUUGUAUAACAAAGUUAUUGAAACUUUCCUUUCAUAAACUUCACAUUAAUUAGUGCGAAUUUAUCCUAUUCAUGAUGAUAACAACGAUGAGAUAAUAAAGAUUUCACAAUGAAAAUAAAUUAUUCAAAUUUUCACUUUAUUUUAUUUUUUAUUUAAUGAUUUUUUUAUGAAAAAAAUUAAUAAAAUUAUAUAAUAUAUUUAAGAAAUGUUUGAGUCCGUUUACACUAAAUACUCUAUUUAAUGAUAAAAGAUACUCUAUUCAAUGAUAAAAGAUAAAGAAACCUAAACAGUUGUAGAAAAAGAGAUUUGCAAUUUCUUUUCAUUCUUUACUUCAUGACUUUAAGGUCUCGUUUGUUUUUGGCUAGAAAAAGUAAAUGUUUACUGCGAAAAGUAAAACAUGAAAAACGAAAUUAUAAAUAACAAAAGAAUACGAAAAAUGAAAAUAGUUAUACGUUUGAAACUUUAUUCGAAAGAAGGAAUUGUGAAGAAAGUUUCAUAUAUGUAUAGUUAAUUAUUUAUAAUUUAUUUAAUUAGUCUUUAUUUAAAUUUAAAUUAUUUUUAUUUUUAUUUAAAAUAAAAUUACAAUUCAAAUAUAAAAAAAUUAUUAUUAUAAAAUAACAUAAUUAAUCAUAUUAUAUAUAGUAAAUUAUAAAUAUAAAUAAUAAAUAUAUUUUUUAAUAAUAAAAAUAUAAAUUGAUAUAAUAAUUAUAUUAUUAUAAAAAAUAUAAGAUAAAAAUAAUAAUAUUAUAUAUAUAUAUAUAUAUAUAUAUAUAAUNNNNNNNNNNNNNNNNNNNNNNNNNNNNNNNNNNNNNNNNNNNNNNNNNNNNNNNNNNNNNNNNNNNNNNNNNNNNNNNNNNNNNNNNNNNNNNNNNNNNAACAUAUAUUAUAUAUAAUAAUGGAAGCAUAGGAGCUUCUAAAUGAUGUUGUUAAUAUUGUUAAAUUAAGAUUUUUGGUUAAAAAACCUUUAUUUUUAAUUAAAUAUUAAUUUAGAAACUAUUUAACAAUAAUAAAAACUAAUUUAAAUUUUUUUUUUAGUUUUUAAAAUAUUUUUAAUUUAAUUAUUAUUGUAACUAAUUAUUUUAGUAUCUAAAAAUUGAUUUCUAUUUUAUUAUUAUUUUCGUAGUGUAUAAUUUAAAAUAAAUUAUUCCUAUGCAUUAAUUCCUUUCACUAUUUUUUUUUAUCUCAAUAUCAUAGUUUUUUUAAUCUUAUUUUAAACUAUUUCAAUUUACUUCUACUAUCAAUGCACUAAUAUAUUACUAAUUACUAGGACGCUGCUGCUAUGACAUGUAUGAUUUAUUAUUUACAACAUUACCUGUCGGUUUUAUCAAUAAAUUAACUUUAAAUCAUAAAGUGUUAUUUAUUGUUAGUAUAUAAUACUCUUAUCAUUAAUUUGAUAAAAAAAAAUACAGAACUAAUUUAUUUUAAAAAAUAUGAUCAUAUGAAAAACUUUAAAAUAGUGGAAUAAAAUUUAAAAAAGUUAUUUGAACAUUAAAAUUAAGUAUAUUUUGUGGACGGGAACAAUUUAGUACUUUAAAGUACAUAAAAAAACUGGCAAUAUUAUACAACACUGAAACAUAUUAGAUUAAGUUAAAGGUGAAGAAAAGGUUGAAUUGGAUAUGCAUUUUCAAAACAUAAAUCCUAUUAACAAUAAACUGUCAAAUUCUUUGGAAACAGGGAAUCAAAUAAAUAUGAUUUAUUUGAUGGUUUCAUUGUUCAGUGUUCCUUCAGGAUCUCCUACUGCAUUUUAACUUCCUCUAUACAUUUUUCCACCAUUUUUCCAAUAUUCACACCAAGAGGAUGAUUCCAUCUUAAGACAAAAUAAUUAUUUGAUUUAUUGGGAUGAUUGUAAAGUGUUAUCAGAGAAAAAAAAGAUGAUAGAAAUAGUGAAAGGCUUUAUACUUUUCUUUAUUUAUGUGAAAAAUUAAAAAAAAAACUCUUAUCCUUUUCUCCAUCCAUUUCUCUAUUCUCAAAAUCAUUGAAAUAAACAUAAAAAAACAUCCACUUCAAAGAGAUGUGUGGUUGGUAGAUUGAAUCUUUUGGCAGAAUAUAUCUUCCAAAAGGAUAAAACAUUUCGUGAACUUUGGAAGCAAAAGAAUAUAUAAAAGUAUCAAAAGUUGAAUAACUUUUAUGUAACUUUUUAUAUUUGUCAUCAUUUUCUUUACAUAGAAACAUGUGGAAGAUGAGAAUAAAAACAGUGGACUUACCAUUAUAACAAGUUGGACUUUCCAUUUACAGCAAGACACAGGAAGUGCUUUGUAAGGAGGAAUAAAAGUUAGACAUUAUUUUUUUAAUACACUCCUUUUCAUAUUCUUACGAAAUAUUUAGAAAAACAAAACACCUUGUCAAGAGAGAGGUUCAAACUUUCUUUCGAAGAAUUUGAGUGAAAAUAUUAUAUAAAAAAUAGUUUAAUAGCAUAUAUUAAGAAAGUCUUAAUAUAAUAAAUUAUAAAUAAUUUUGAUAUUGUUAAGAAUAAAUUUUAAAUUUAACUCAAUCUCAUACAUUCAAUUUAUAAGAUGGUGAGAUUUGUAUUCAUUUAUAUGCUAUAAAUUAUUUUUAUUUUUUGUAUGAUCUUUAAUAACAUAUAACAUCGACCCUUAGUUAUCAUAUUUUUUAAACUUGGAAAUUGAACCUUAAAGGAUACAUAUAUUAGGAAUACAUUUAUACAAAAUUUGUGAACACUAGUGUGAAAAGAAAAGAUAAAAAUAAAAUAUUUAAAAAUUAAAAUUAAAAUUAACUUAUAUUUUUAAUCAGAAUUUAAUUAUGCAAGUAUUAUUUUUAUAUGUUUAAUUUCGAAAAUAGAAUCCUUUUCUAAAUAAGUAUAAUUUUUUUGUUCACUUUAAAGUCAGUUGUUGUCAUAUUAAAUUUUCGUUUUUUUAUAAGAUUAUCCUGUUAAAUAUUAUUGUACUUUUCUUCAUAGGGAUUAUUAGCCUGAAUAAAAAAAAUUAUAAUUAGUGUUUAAUUUAUUUGAAAUAAAUUAAAAUAUUUCUUUUCACGUGUAAAACACCUAUGGUAUGUAAGAAAACAUGAUUUUGUUGUGAAAAAAUGAGUAUAUAUAAGUGCAUGUAGUAUGAAGUUGGAUGACACGACAGAAGCAAAAGAAGGGAAAAGUUGAAGAAGAUAAGAUUGAAGAAUGGAGCUAACACAGGUACUGCGCAUGAACGGUGGCGAUGGAAACACCAGCUAUGCAAACAACUCCUUUGUUCAGGUACCUACAUUAACAUCUCUUCAUUUUACUCAAUUCAAAAACAAAAUUUAUAUCAUACAGAUGUUAAAUCAAGAUUUUAGGAUAAAAUAUGUAUUCCAAAUUUCUUACAUGAGAUGAGGAUUGGUUUGUACUGACAGCUCGUACUAGGAUAGACUUUAAAUGAGUAUGAUACUAUACUAAAAAGUGGAUUUUAAGUCUAACUCAAUCCCAUAAAACUGACUGAUGAGAUGAUGUUUGCACUCAAUUAUAUACAAUGAAAUGUCUUAAUCUCUGGUCGAUGUUGGAUAUCCAACAUUUUUCUUUUAAUUUCUUUAAAAUUGAAACAUAUUUUUUCUAAAAUUUAAUAUGUUUUUCAUUUAUUGUUAGCGAUAAUAAUAAUAAUAUAUGAAACUUUCACAUGACGGAGACAUCUUACCAAAAUUUCUUUUAAUAAAUCGUAAUCUGUAUCAACUUUUUCGUCUAGCGUUGUUAUAUAUGUAAAUUUUAGAAGCUCAAAAGACAAAAAAUGAUAUGCAAAGUUUUUGGAAAAGGUAUUUACAAGGAAAAAAAUAUUUUAUCCUAAAGAUCAACACCAAUAAAAAAAAUCAUUUUUAAUACCAGUCAAUAUUUAGGAUAUUUUGAUUGAAAUAGUGGGUAACUUAUUUACAAGUACCCUCCAAAGAGUUCCAAGUUGUGAUGGAUUUUAACUACUAUGUUAUUAAAUUUAUUAAUAUUGUUAAUUUAUAUCUUGUACAAAAUAUCUUUGUGUUUUAAACCUAAAGUAAAGUUCAUAUAUUCGUAAUCUGCUAUUAAAAUAAAUUAGUUCUUUAAUGAAAAAAAACAUUACAAAAAUAUCAUUUUAAUAUUACAUUAAUCCAGUAUUUAAAAAAUAUGCUUGAGGUGUUAAAAAAAUAGGAGAUAUAAUUUCAUUAAACAAAUUGUUUGAGUAUUUUUUUUUUCUAAAAUUAAUUGAAAUACAUGCAUAUGGUUUCAAUCACGUAUUGUAGUACAAUGAAAGUACAACCAAAAAUUGUGUCAUUGAUUUACACAGCAAAAGGCGAUUAGUUUGUCAAAAGCCAUAAGAGAGGAAGCCAUAACUAGUUUUUAUAGCAGCAGACUCCCGAGAAGCUUGGCAAUUGCAGAUUUAGGUUGCUCUUCAGGACCAAACACUUUCUUUGCUGUGUCCGAACUCAUCAAGACCGUGGAGAAGUUAUGUCGGAAGCUGAACCAUAAAUCUCCAGAAUACAAGGUGUUUUUCAAUGAUCUCCCUGGGAAUGACUUCAACAACAUCUUCAAGUACCUUGACACCUUCAAACAGAAAUUGUGUGAUGAAAUGGAAACUGGGAUUGGUCCAUGCUACUUCUCUGGGGUUCCAGGUUCUUUCUAUGGCAGAGUUUUCCCAGAUCAAAGUCUUCAUUUUGUCCAUUCCUCUUACAGCCUUCAAUGGCUAUCUAAGGUACAUGCAUAUGCAUAUGUUAAUCAAAUUAUAAGAUAAUAAUAUAUGGAAUGGAAGUAAUAAGUGUGAUUUAUUAGGUUCCUGAGGGUAUAGACAACAACAGGGGGAAUAUUUACAUAGGAAGAGCAAGUCCAUCAAAUGUUGAGAGAGCUUACUACAACCAAUUUCAAAGAGAUUUCUCUUGUUUUAUCAAGUCUCGUGCAGAGGAAAUAGUUGAAGGAGGUCGUAUGGUUCUCACAAUUUUGGGAAGAAGAAACGAAGUUGAAGAUCCAGCCAGCAAAGAGGGUGGCUACCUUAUUUGGGAGCUUAUGGCUAUAGCUCUUAAUGAUAUGUCUCUGCAAGUAAGAACUUGAUGCUAUGCUUUAAAUUCAGUGCACAUUCAUGAAUAUGAAUCCUUUUACUAUAAUUGGUGCAGGGAAUAAUAAAGGAAGAGGAAUUGGAUAGUUUUAACAUUCCACAGUACACUCCAUCACCAUCUGAACUGAAAUUGGAAGUUCUUAAAGAAGGAUCAUUUGCCAUCGAUCGUCUAGAGGUGUUCGGGGUGAAUUGGAAUCCUCUAGAAAGGUCUGAAUCAGUUAGUGAGAGUGGAUAUAACCUGGCACAGUGCAUGAGGUCUGUGGCAGAACCUAUGCUGGUUAGCCACUUUGGUGAAGAUAUCAUUGAAGAGGUUUUUAGUCGCUUCCACAAAAUUCUGGCUCAUCGUAUGUCUGAGGAGAAAACUGAGUUCAGCAAUAUUACAGUAAUGUUGACUAGGAAAGCAUAAGCAAGAAGAUUGCAACUAGGGUUUCUCAAAUGCGUUAUUGUAGCUGUUGUGAUUUUUGGCUUGCUCCAUUCUUACCUUUUUCUACCAUCAAAUAGCCAGAUGUUGAGAUCAAGAAAAUAAACAACACUAUAGGAGUGUUUUGUUUUUGCAUUUGGCCUAUACCUUUAUCCUUUUACGUUAAUAAUUUAUUGAGAUUGUAAUAAUUGUGUUAUGUUUCAUUUUGAUUGUUCAGUGUAGCCAAACAAAACUUUUUUGGUCUUGAAAAUGAUAUUACUAUGCUCCAAACCACAAACAUCUCAUCAGAUAAAAAGGGAGCACAACUUGUCUAGCACUUUAAAAAUGCAUGGUCUAUCUACAUCCUCUCAUUGUUUGACAUAUGAGGCAUUUGUAGGAAUCCUAUGGUCACUUGUAAUAUAUAUAAUAAUUUUAUAAACAUUUUAAAACGUGACAAGCAUUCAUAUAUGUUUGCAACGUGAGGAAUGACAACGUAAAUCUCAUUCUUAUUCUGAAUUAAAAAUUUAUCUUCAUUACUUAUAUCUUACAACAACUAAGAAUUUUUUUGUCACAUUCUCCUUCUCACUAAAACAUAUUAAUUAAAUAAUUUUUUUUAUAAAAAAUAAAGAUCACAAUAAAUAAAGGAAACAUAAUAUUAACAAAUGAAAAUGAUACAAUUUUCUUUUUUUCCAAUAUUAAAUAAAAAAAUUAUAAUUAUAUAAAUAUAAAAAUAAGAGUAAAUUAAAUAACAAUUGGAUAAAAAUCACAUAAUUAAAUGUUUAAAUAUAUGACGUAGUAAUUUAUGAAACUAAGGAAAAAAGUUAAUAUAAGUUUUUUUAUGUUAUAUACUUCAUAAAUUAAAAGGUAUUUUAGUAAUUUAAGAUAAAAAUGAGUAUGAGAAUGUGAGAAUGAAUAUUGGAAAAGUAUAGAGAUGGAGACUAGAUAAAUAUGUUCAUACUCAUUUCCGUUCUUAUGUCCAAUUAAAAAAAUCAAUAUUGAUAUUUUUCCUUAAUAUCGGAAGGAGUUCAAAUCAUACCUACUAAUGGGAGGUAAUUUUUAAUCGUUUAUCAAAGAUUAUGAGAGAUUAAAUAUUUUUUUUUAAAAAAAGAAAAAUUACUUUUUAAUCUUGUAUGAAUUUAGAAUACUUCCGCUUAGGACUGUAUUUUCUGUUGAGGCUUCAUGUUGCAAUUUCCUUACUAUUUGAAUCAAUGCACCUUAUGGAUGUUUAAGUUCUUAUCCUUGUUUAAUUGAAGCUUCCAAUUGAUUGGACUUGUUUUAUAUACAUCAAGAUUCAAGUAGACAGGCCUUUCACCUAACUGUAUACUUAGCCUAACUCUUGAGCAUAUUGAAUGUUCUAAGAGAGAAACUUCAUUUUUGCCUGGUCAUUUUCAACCCUAACCAAGGAACAUGGAGUAUUUAUUAAGCUCAAUACCAUAUUCAUUUGUUUUAGAUAUAGGGAUAUGUAUUCUGUUUUGGGAAUGUAAUCUCUUAACUUUCUUUCACGUAAUUGUGUGAUCUGUGAGGUGAAUUGGGAUAAACUUUCUGAAGUCACUUGUAUUCCCUUUUUUUUUUUUUUCAUUUCAGAUACUUUGUAUAUUCGUGUCUCCUUUUUGUUCACACAUAUUCCUUUCUUUUGUUUUAUUUAGGGUGUUAGUGACAUCACAACGACAGAGGUAGCAGACUAAUGGCUCGUGACAGUUCUCGUUUUGAGCACUAGACAUGGUGAACUUUGGAACAAAAGAUACUAUACUAUUCAAGUUUCAGCACAGAAAUAUAUAUAACAUUGAAGUUUCAGCACACAAAUAUAUUUCUAAAAAUCAAAAUAAUUAAUUAUAAUAGUAAUUAAAUUAGAGACAUUUUAGAAACUAAAAAAAAUAUUUUCUAAAUUAAUUUAUAUUAUUUUCUAUUAUUGUUAAAUAGUUUCUAAAUUGGUAUCUAAUUAGCAAUCAAAGUUUUUACUACCAAAUUUAGCGAUAAUCUGUGCUGAGGGCAAAGCAGUAGUCUUCCAGAGGAAGACAAACACACUUUUUCCCUCAACAGGUCUCUUAAAAGAGCCUAGACAGAGAUUUUACCGAGAAACCACUAUCCUUACCAGCCUUCCAAACUCGACUAUCUGCAGAAUUCAAGAUAGGGGUCUUUCCAUGCACUUCUUGUAACAGCUGGACUUCCUUAGCAUUACUCCUUUGUUCUUGCAAAUUUCUCCAGGCUCCGUAUUUAGAUUCAAGAAUUUCUUUCCACAGACCAUCCUUCUCAGUCUCCAGACACCAAAUCCACUUUCCUAGCAGUGCCGCAUUUAAAAACCUUAAAUUCAAAAUUUCAUGACCACAGCCUCUCUAGGCUCGCACACCUUUCUCAACGAGACCCACGCUACUUUCCUUCCUUCAUCUCCCCAUCCCCACAACAACCUUCUCUGUACCUUUUCAACCUCCUUUAACACAGCAACAUGCAAUUUGUACAUGGAUAAAUAGAUAAAGGAAUUUCUAUAUUAGGAGCAGGUGCAGGGACAGGUAUAUCUGCCAAGUCAGAAGAAGCUGGAGGGGUUGAUAUAAUAGUUUUGUACAACUUUGGGCGCUUCCGAAUGGCUGUAAGAGGUUCAUUAGCCUGAUUAUUACCUUUUGCAGAUGUUAAUGUUGUUGUUCUUGACAUGGUCAAUGAAGUUUUGCCGGUAUGCCAUUAUUUGUUUACUUGUUCUAGAAGACUUCAAAAGUAUUGUCCAAAUGGUAACUUCUGUUGAAGUUUUUUUCACUCUAAAUGCCUCAUUUUGCAGAUGCUUCUUUACUUGAGCAUAUACUAAUUUCAAGAUUCUUGUUUAAUAUAGGUGGUGAUAAGUGAAACUAAACUAUGAAACAUCACCAAAUAUGAUUGGUAGUCUUUAAGGAAGAAGAUUUUUCUUUUCCAAAAUAAUGUAAAAUAGAAACCAAUUUUAGAGACAAAAAAUAAUUAGUUGUUAUAGUGACUAAAUUAGAGACCAUUUGAAAGAUUAAUUUUAUUUUAGAGAAAAAAAAUACUUAGUUGUUGUAGUGACUAAAUUAGAGAUCAUUUUAAAGAUUUUUUGUUUGUUUCUAAAUUAGUUUUUAUUAUUGUUAAAUGAUUUCUAAAUUGGUAUCUAAUUAGUAUUUUAUGACUCGAAUUACAGCAUUCCAAUGAGAUUUCCGUAGGGUCUAUAUAUAUUGACUUACGAUUCGAACCGAAAAUACUAUGUCAGGCCGAGUAACGAGGUAUAUUAGUCGUCCCACAAGUCAUCCCACAAGUUGUUUGUAUUUGACUGGAUCCUUUAAUAACUCUCCACAUUUAUUUUCUUCUUUCGGAAAACAAUUAGUAAAUUUGAUGUACUUUAGGACUUGAAUUGCGACAUCCCAAUGAGAUUUCCGUGGAGCCUGUAUAUAUCACGGAAGCCUCGUUGGCAUGCCGUAAUUCGAGUCCUAAAAUACUAAUUAGAUACCAAUUUAAAAACCAUUUAACAAUAAUAAAAACUAAUUUAGAAAAAAAAAAUAGUCUUUAAAGUGAUUUCUAAUUUAGUCACUUUAUCAACUAAUUAUUUUUUUGUCUCUAAAAUUAGUUUCUAUUUUAUGAUUUUCUUAUAGUAAAAUAUAUCAAUAUUUAUUAUACCAAAUUGAUUAUUUAUUUAUAAGUUAAUAUACUAUUAUACUUCAAAUGCCGAAGACAAAUAAUUAAAAUAAAAAACCUACGUAAACAAAAACUAUGACACACAGUGAUAAAAAAAUAUCAAUUAGUUUGGCAUUGAUCAAGCAUAUAGUCAUAAUCAUAUAUACCUUAACUAAACAACAUCUUGCAAUGUCUUUUUUUAAUUAAUCUUAAAAUCUUAUAAAUUGAUUGAUUCAGCUAAAAAAAUAACCCUUUUCAUUAAAAAUAUUUUUUAAAAGAAUUAUUAUUAUUCAUAUUUUUAGAUUAUUCUAAAUCAUUAAUUGUUUCAGAUAUUUUAUUAUAUUAAAAUUUAAAAUAACACUUGUGGAUCUAUGGUUGUUAUUAUUAUUUUUAUUAAACGAAAAGUAGUAUUGUAUAAAAUAAAUUCAAGAAAAAUAAUUUUUUUUAUUCAUAUUCGCAAAGAUAAAUAAUAAAAUAUAUUUUUCACCACAAAACUAUAUUUCUUCCUCCCUCUCAUGGAUCAUGGUGGUGAUUAGUACAUUAUUUAAGUAUAUGCACUUUACUACAUUUAGGUUUCUUACUCACCAACAAAUAAGUAGUUGAAUUUUUGUGAAUAUGAUUCAUAACUUUCAUGAUUUUUCCUAAAACCAUUGUUUUAGACUGAGACAAGAUUUGUACUAGUAUUUUUGGAAAUAUCAAUUAAUACCAAUCAAAAUAUUGUUGGCAUGACCUGUGUAUGGUUGGAUCUCCCUCGAGUUAUUAACUAUAUAUCUACGAAAAAACAUAGUAACUUGGAAAGACCACAUAACCUUAUAAUUAAUUUUUUUUAAAUUAAGAGAAGAUAAUUGAAAGUAAAAUAUACACUAUAAGAAAAUAAUGAAAUAUAAACUAAUUUUAGAGACCAAAAUAAUUAAUUACUAUAUUGACUAAACUAGAGACUAUUUUAUAAACUAAAAAUUAUUAGUAUUUAAAGUAGUUUCUAUUAUUAAUAAAAAAUUAUAAAAUAAUUUCUAAAUUAGUAUCUAACUAGUAAGGUUUUAGUUACUAACUACUUAUGUUCUAAAUUAGUCUCUAUUAGUCUUUUAGAAACUAAUUUAGAAUAUAAAAUAUUAGUAGUUAAAACUUUAGUGGCUAAAUUUAGAUAUCAAUUUAGAAACUAUUUUAUAAUAUUUUAUUAAUAAUAGAAAUCACAUUAGAUACUAAUAAUUUUUUAGUCUCUAAAUUAGUAUCUAAUUUAGUCAAUAUAGUAACUAAUUAUUUUUUUGUCUUUAAAUUUGGUUACUAUUUAAUAUUUUCGUGUAGUGAUAAUGAAAACAAAGUUUGUGAAUAGUUUAAUUGAUAUAAUAAUUUAAAAAUAAAAUGAUAUAUUUAUAAAAAUAACCAAACAAACACAAGUUUAGAAAUUUCAAUCUUUAAGCCAAUGUAAAUCUUAAUAAGGGAGAAAAUGUAAUGAAUGAAAAUAAGAAAAGAGUAAAUGAGAACAAAAAUGAAAUUAUAGCCAUGACUACCUAUGGGAAAACAGUUAUAUACAACUGGCAUUUAUAAAGAAAGAGAAAAAGAGAGAAAGGAACAAAAUUGUGUUUGUUGAAAUAUGUAGCACAAAUAAAGAACAAAAUUGUCAAAAUUGUGUUUGUUGAAAUAUGUAGCACAGACAAAUAACAAAAUUGUGUUUGUUGAAAUAUGUAGCACUGACACAGAUACUGAUACGACAUGGACAUGGAUAUUUAUAUAACACACGGAUACGAAGAUACGUAAAAUCUGUAAAAUGUAGGACACGGAGACACAAAUUUAUAUAUUAUAUAAUUAUGAAUUAUAUAAAUUGACAAUAAAAAUUUAUGUGCAUAAUAUGUUUCAGAUUAUUUUUUGAAGUAGAAAGAUGUUUUUUCAUGACUGAUUCACAAGAAUUUGUUUCUUAUUUUUAUAAUCAUAAUAAAAAUUUAUACAAUAAAGUUUGAAUUUUUAAAAAAUUAAUGUGUUUUUUAUUUUUAAAAUUGUGUUAGAACCGUACUACAAUUGUCAGAAAUCUAACAAAUAUUUUUUGAAUUAAACACUUCACGGAUACGUGUCCUACCGGUGUCAGAUACGAGUGUCGGUGUCAGAUACGAGUAUCGAACACCGACACGCCAUUUAAAAGGAGUGUCCGAGUAUGAAAACACUUUGCUACUAAUUAUCACUUUAUUGCAAUUCCAACUUUCUUUCUUUUAUAUUCUUUUCAUUGAAACACUUCCUUUUUCAUUUACCAUAUGUUUCACUCUAAUUUACUCCAUUUAAAGAACCUUACUUCCCACUUUAAUUAUUUUCUUCUCUAAAUUUUUUUCAUUCUCUCGCCUUUUUUUAUCCGACAUCCAAGACUUUUAACGGAAACAAUAUGAUAACCACCAAAAUUCUAAAUUUUUUAAAAAUUUUAUUGUUUAUUUUUAUUAAUAAUAUUAUUAAAUACUUUUAUUAUAUAGUAAAAAGGUAUGUUUUUUUUUUCUUUUCUUACCACUAUCAUCCAAGCCAAUAGUUACACCUAUAAAGACGGUUGAAAGGGUCUACAUCAAAGUACCCUAUGUUUAUAACACUUACAACUCAAGUAUGUACAAGUGAGCAUCUAAAGCAUGUACAAGUGAGCAUCUAGAGAGAGUGUCUACUAUAUACGGAGUAUCUAAUGUUUACUCAAUGCAUCAAUUACAUUUUUAUAAAUUUUAAUUAUUGUAAAUUUUAAUUAUUGUAUUGUAUCGUAUUUUUUUUUCUUCUUCUUAUUAUUAUUUAUUUACGAAUUGUGUGUUUGGUUUGUUUGGAAAUUGAAAUGUUUACAUCAUCGUUAAAUGAUAAUUUGUUGAAUUAUCAAUUGAGUGAAAUGUGUUCACUCUCUUUUAAUGAAUGAUGUUUGUUCCAAUAUUUUCACUUAGAAAAUAAUAAAUUCAUUUUUAAAUAUUUUGCAUCAAUUACCCUUAAUUAUUUUAUUGUAUCAUGUUUUUUAAUUAUUAUGAUUUUACUCAUUUACGAAAAUUGUGUUGUUGGUUUUAUUAGAAACACACCAAUUUCUUAUAAUGUUAAAUGAUAAUUUGUUAAGUUACCAAAAUGUCAUAUAUUUUCACUCUCUUUCCAUUAUUGAGGAGGUAUAUUAUAAUAUUUGAAUUGAAAAAAAAAAUAGUAAAUUCAUUUUUAAAUAUUUUUGCAUUUUUUAUAUUUUUAUAAUAUUUAAUUAUUUUAUGUAUAUUAUUUUAUAAUUAUUAUUACUCAUUUACAAAUUACAUGUUUGUCUCAUUGGAAACUAAAAUGUUUAGUACAAUAUUAAAUGAUAAAUACUGAGUCACCAAAAUGUGUACUCAUUUCACUCUCUUUCAAUUAUUGAGAUAUGUUCCAAUAUUUUAAUUUAAAAAACAAUAAUUUUAUUUUUAAAUAUUUUUAAAUAUUUAAUUAUUUUAGUGCAUCAUAUUUUUUAAUUAUUAUUAUUAUAAAUAGAAAAGUGAUAAAUAAGGUAAUAUGCUAUAAAUCUGGUAACACGAUAUUUCAAGUAAUUAUAUUUUAGUAAAGAUAUGUAUUAAGUACAACUCAUAAGCAAAAUAACACAUUAUGAGCACUAUAAAUAAGCAUUGUCACACAAAAAUAAGGUAUGCUUUUAUUAAUAUAUAAUUCACUCUUAUAUAAAAGUAUUUACUUUAUCGUUGGAGAACUUUUACCGUUUAACUUCCGACCGAGUAUUAGAGAGCGAGUACAAGAAAGGGAAAGAGAAGUGAUCCAGGUACAAGAGACAAUGGUUCAAACCAGGGAAGAUUAGACAAUCUUAGAAUCAAUUUUUAAAAAAAUUUAAAUUAUAAGAGAAAGAUAAUUGAAAGUAAAAUACAAUAAUGAAGAAAAAAUUUGUGAGUGAUUUAAUUAAUAUAAUAAUUUUAAAAAAUAUAUAUAUUUAUAAAAAUAACCAAACAAACAUAACCUUAGAAAUUUCAACCUUAAAGAUAAAGAUAAGGUUAAUUAAUAGAACAAAAAUGAAAUUAUAGCACAUUAUGACUAAAAAGGGAAAACAGUUAUAUACCGCUGACAUUUAUGAAGAAAGAGAACGAGAAAGGAACAAAAUUGUGUUUGUUGAAAAAGUACGCUACUAAUUAUCAUUUUACUACAAUUCUAACCUUCUUUUCUUGUUUCACUCUAAUUUACUCCAUUUAAUGAACCUUAUUUCCCACUUUAAUUAUUUUCUUCUCUGUAUUUUUUUCAUUCCCUCACCAUUUUUUAUCCAAGCAUCCAAACAAAGGGCUAAGGUCGUUAUCAACUUCACUAUGUUUCGUAUGUUUCGUGACUUUAAUGAAUAGCCUAAUGGUAGUUAAUAUAUAUAGUUUGGCAACCAGAAGUUCUCAGUAAUAAAGGACCAACAUUGUACCAAAUAUCAAUCACUUAAAGUCAUGAUAGGCACAACACAUGAUAUUUUAUGUGAUGAAAUGUUAAUGACAGAGUUUGCACAUCUAUAUAUACAGGUAUGGUAUGAACUUGAUCAGAAGCAUAGAAGCACUUAGUUAAGGAGAAUAUCCCAAAUCGAGAUAAAGAGAGAUAUAAAAGAAAACAAUGGAAGUAGCUCAGGUACUGUGCAUGAACGGUGGCGUUGGAGACGCUAGCUAUGCAAACAACUCUCUUGUUCAGGUAUAGUGUUAGAUGUUCACAACACUCUCAGCUUGUGAUCAUGCUUGCUGUCUGUGUUCAUUUCACCCAUUAAAAACAAAGUUAUAAAUAGAAUUUUGAUUUGAAGAGCAAUGUUAUAUACAAUAUACGCAAUAUUAUUGUUUAUGUUUUCUCUCUCAUUAGCAAUAAGUUCAGUUAUCACUUAAAAAGAAUUUCACAGUACAAUCAUUGGUUGUUUUGUUAUGCAGCUAAAGGGGAUUUGUUUGACAAAGUCAAUAAGAGAGGAAGCCAUAACUAGCCUCUAUUGCAGUGCACUCCCCAGAAGUUUGGCAGUUGCAGAUUUGGGUUGCUCUUCUGGACCAAAUACUUUGUUUGUUGUGUCUGAACUCAUCGAGACUGUGGAGAAGCUUUGCCAACAGCUGAACCAUAAAUCUCCAGAAUACAAGGUUUUUCUAAAUGAUCUCUCUGGGAAUGACUUCAACAACAUCUUUAAGUCCAUUGACAGCUUUAAAGAGAAAUUGCAAAAUGAAAUGGAAAGUGGUCCAUGCUACUUCUCUGGGGUUCCCGGAUCUUUCUAUGGCAGGGUUUUCCCAAGUCAAAGUUUGCAUUUUGUCCACUCCUCUUACAGCCUUCAUUGGCUGUCUAAGGUACAUGCAUAUGCAAAAUGGAGCAUUUUUGUUAGUUGUACUCACAUUUGUAUUUUGUAGGAGUUGGUAAUAUAAUAUAUGAAGUAUAGCUAAUAAUUAUGUAUUGGUGAUUAUAUUAGGUUCCUGAGGGUGUAGACAACAAGGGAAAUAUCUAUAUAGGUAGAACAAGCCCAACAAAUGUUGUGAGAGCUUACUAUGACCAAUUUCAAAGAGAUUUCUGUCUUUUUCUCAAGUGUCGAGCAGAGGAAUUAGUUGAAGGAGGUCGUAUGGUUCUGACAUUUUUGGGGAGAAGCAACGAGGAUCCAUGUAGCAAGAAUAAUCUUUGCUACAUUUGGGAGCUUAUGGCUUCGGCUCUUAAUGAUAUGGUUUCUCAGGUAAUGAAUCCACUUUCUGAGGAGGUGAAAACAUGACUCAACCAUACAUGACAAUCUGAUUUUUUAACAUUAAUAAGGGCUUCUUUUCUUUAGUAUUCUCUUUCCUAAGUUUCUUAUAUAAAAAUUGUAUUGUUUAAUAUUAAUUUCCUAAGUUGUCUGUUGAAACAUGUAUAUAAAUCUGGCAAGAUGCAUGUAUAUAAAUGUUUUCACUGUUUUGCUGCAGGGAAUGAUAAAGGAAGAGCAAGUAGACAGUUUUAACAUCCCACAGUACACUCCAUCACCAUCUGAAGUGGAAUUGGAAGUUCUUAAUGAAGGAUCCUUUUCUAUCAAUCGUCUAGAAGUGUCUGAAAUGAACCGGGACACUCUUGACUUUGAACCUGAAAGGUUUGAAUCAAUUGGUGAUGAUGUGGCGCAGUGGAUGAGGGCUUUGGCAGAACCUAUGCUGGUUAGUCACUUUGGUGAAGACAUCAUUGAAGAGGUUUUCACCCGCUACAAACAAAUCUUGGCUCAUCGUUUGUCCAAGGAGAAAACUCAGUUAAUCAGUGUCACUUUAUUAUUGACUAGAAAGACAUGAACAAGAACUUUGCACCUGAGGAGAAAACUGAGUUCAUAAAUUUAAAGAAUAAGCAAGAAGUUUCACUACAGAAAAAAUAAUUAGUUGUUAUAGUGAAUAAAUUAGAGAUAUUUUAGACAAAAAAUAAUAAUUGAUUUCUAAAUUAAUUUAUAUUAGUGAUAAGUAGUUUUUAAAUUAAGAUCUAAUUAGCUACCAAAGUUUUUACUACCAAAUUUAGAAUCUAAAUAAUUGGUAGUUAAAACCUUGGUAACUAAUUAGAUACUAAUUUAGAAAUGGUUUAUAAAUAAUAUAAACUAAUUUAGAAACCAAUAAUUUUUUUAAUCUCUAAAAUGAUUUAUAAUUUAGUUAUUAUAACAACUAAUUAUUUUGUGUGUCUCUGAUUGGUUUCUAUUUAAUGAUUGUUGUAGUGUUUGUAUCUGUAUGUGUGUUUUGCUGGAUAUAACUAGCAAAAAUAUUAAGUUGGAAUAGAAUAAAAUUAUUGUGUUUGUUAAGAAUAAAAUUUUUUAGUUUAUUUUCUUCUUAGUAAUUCUUUUGUUUUGCCUCCGCAUGGAAGGCUAAACCUUUUUUGUUGAUUCCUUUGUAAUUUUCCAUUGAGUUUUGAGGUUUUGUUUAAUAAAAGUUUCGAUUUUUAAUUCUCUACAGCAGUUGUUUUUAUUGUUUAAUCUCCUGGAAAACUUUGGUUUCUUAGUUAGUUCGCAUUGUUCUAAUUAAUUUCUUGGACGCAUGAUUCAAGGGAGAGGAGGUAAGCAUUCCCAUGGAGUAUACGCAUGGAACAAAAGUGGGUAUUGAUUAAACUAGUAGACCCAUGUUUUACUAGUGAGUUUUAGUUGAAUUAAAUUGGCGCAUGUUCAAUCUGGUUAACUCUAUUGGAGGAUUGAGAAAAAAUUAAUCUUUAGAGAAAAUGGUGGAAGAACUUGGGAUCAACCGCUUUUUAUUUGCUAUUUUAAUCUCUUUUAUAUUUUCUGCACAACUAUCUCAAACCCCAUUUUUAUCUUUAUUGUUAUUGCUAAUUUUUAUUGUUUGCAAAUAAAUUCUAAACCUGAUUAACUGAAUCACUAUUUGAUUCGUUGCGAGACGACUUGGGGUCAUCUGGCUACAAUUAUACUAUCAUCUCUCUAGUGUUAGACAAGUCUACACUAAAAUCAUAUUAAUUUGACAGCAAAACGACAACUAUCAAUAUAUAUCACAUUUUGUUGAGUAAAUGGUAGAAACUUUUCAACAUCAUUCUCAUACUCCUCACUUAUUUAUUUGACUUGAAUUCAUUCAAUUUGGAUCCAUUAUAUUAGUAAGAGAAGAACUUAGUUUGGAAAUGAAUAUCUCAUUUUAUUAUUUCUUUUGAAAAAAAAGGUGUGACUAUAUCCUUUUAGAAAGACUCAUUUCUUUAUAUUUGAUUAGAAUGUAAAUUUUAAUUAAAAAAAUCUUAUAAUUAGCAAAAUUUCACUAAUAAUACCAAAUGAAAGUAAUGACAUAAAAUAAACCAUAAUAAAGCAUAAUAAAGUAUAUGCUUGGAUAUCAGUACAAAAUAUAAUCAAUUCAAAUUUCAUAAAAUAUAUGAAAUAUUGAUUAAAAAUACUAAUUAACUAUAAAAGGUUAUUAAACGGCUGAAAUAUAGUUUUCAAAUAUCUCUUUGCAAUUAGAUUAUGAAUUUGGUUAUGCAACCUCCACUAUAAGAAAAUUAUUAAAUAGAAACUAAUUUGGAAGAUAAAAAAUAAUUAGUUACUUCAUUAACUAAAUUAUAUAUUAUUUUAAAAACUAAAAACUUAUUAGUAUUUAAAUUAAUUUCUAUUAUUAUAAAUAAUUUCUAAAUUGAUAUCUAAUUAGCUACCAAGUUUAUAAUCUAAAUAAUUGGUAGCCUAGUUUAUAAUCUAAAUAAUUGGUAGCCAAAUUUAUAAUCUAAAUAAUUUGUAGCUAAAACUUAGGUAGCUAAUUAGAUAUAAAUUUAAAAACUAUUUAUCAAUAAUAGAAACUAAUUUAGAUACCAAUAAUUUUUUAGUCUCUAAAAUAAUAUAUAAUUUAGUUAAUAUAGCAACUAAUUUUUUUUUCUAAAAUUAUUUUUUUUUUAAUGUUUUUCUAGUGAUCAAAAUUUUAACAAAAAAAUAUGUUUACUUUAUUGCGAUUUUGUAGGAGUUAUUUGAUGAAUAAUGUGUUAUCAUAGGCUAUAAAUCAUGUUGUAGUUGAAACUUGUAACAAUAGAAGUAAAAUAAAAUAUUCUAGGUUGUCAAUCUUAUUGGCUUAAUAUGUGUACAGGUAAUACAUAUUCAUGUAUGGCUGAUUUAAAAAAUUUAAAAACUUUUAUCUUUGCUAUAUGUUAAAUAAAAUAGGAAAGAUUAUUCAAGUCAGAGGUCUCCUCUUUCUUUUGGAUGACUAGUUUUUUUCUCUUUUAAAAUAAUAGUUUUAAAGUUCAAAUGUUGAAAUUUUAAAAUAUCAUUAAAAGUAAAAUCGAAGCACAAAAUGUGUAUAUCGUAUUAUAUAUAUAUAUAUAUAUAUAUAUAUAUAUAAUAUUGCUUUAUCUUUUAAAAUAUAAUUUGCAGAAAUUAAUCCUAAAAUAAUGUAUUAGUCUAUGUACUUAGCCUAACUCUUGAGCAUAUUGAAUGUUCUAGGAGAAAAACUUCACUUUUGCCUGGUCAUUUUCAACCCUAAACAAGGAACAUGGAGUAUUUAUUAAACUCAAUACCAUAUUCAUUUUAUUUUAGAUAUAUGGAUAUGUCUUCUGUUUUGGGAAUGUGAACUCUUAACUUUCUUUCACAUAAUUGUGUGAUCUGUCAGAUGAAUUGGGAUAAACUUUCUGAAGUCACUUGUAUUCCCUUUUUUUUCAGAUACUUCUUUGUGUAUUCGUGUCUCUUUUUCUGUUCACACAUAUUCCUUUCUUUUGUUUUGUAUAGGGUGUUAUUGACAUCACAACGACAGAGGUAGCAGACUACAUAGUUGGAGGUGUAAUGGCUUGUGACAGUUCUCGUUUUGAUGCCAUCAUAGAGAAUAAAGUCCCGUUAGUCUUGAGUGUGGGAGCACUAGACAUGGUGAACUUUGGAGCAAAAGAUACUAUACCAUUCAAGUUUCAGCACAGAAAUAUAUAUGAACACAACAAACAGGUGACUGCUCUUUAUUACUUCGUUCUGUUUUGGUCUUUGCUUGAAAACUAGUCAUAUUUGCUUGUGAUCCUCCAGAGGAUUUUGUACGUCAUUUUCUCCUUGAACUUGAUGUUUAUUUCCUGCAAUCCUAUGACUACUGUCAAAACUGGACUAUUCACUAUACACNNNNNNNNNNNNNNNNNNNNNNNNNNNNNNNNNNNNNNNNNNNNNNNNNNNNNNNNNNNNNNNNNNNNNNNNNNNNNNNNNNNNNNNNNNNNNNNNNNNNGGAACUGAAGAUGUUUACCAUGUGUUAAAAUGGCUGAAGACAUUAUUUUAUGCUAAUAUAAGAAAUCAAUUAUUUCUGUUUGCAGGUUUCACUCAUGCGAACAACAGUAGACGAGAACAGAAAAUUUGCUGAUUUUAUAGCAAAUAAACUGCAGAAUUCAUCAUCUAAGAUUUGUGUGUGCCUUCCAGAAAAGGGUGUAUCUGCUUUAGACGCAUCUGGGAAGCCUUUCUAUGAUCCAGAGGCAACGGGCACUCUUCUUCAUGAAUUACAAAACCUUAUUCCGACUAAUGGUGAUAGACAGGUAUUAUGGUUGCUCAAUAGUAUUAUUUAUCAUAAUUAUCAGCUUCAAGUUUUCUAAAUUUCAUUUUAUUUAUUGCUGAGUAUUUUGAAAAGUUAAAAGAGUUGUGUACAGGUAAAGGUCUAUCCUCGUCACAUUAAUGACCUUGAAUUUGCAAAUGCAUUGGUUGAAUUUGCAAAUGCGUAAGCUUUGGACCAUCGUCUAUCCACCUAGUGAAUUCCCGGAAGCUAGAACAGGUUCUCAUUUAAUUUUAAUUUGCAUUAUGUUAAUCAGUGUUUUGCAAAAAAUAAUUAGUUUGUUUUUUCAAUUUUCCUCUUAUUUGUGUGUUUUAACACUUAAUUUGUGUUGUCCUGAAAGAUAUUUAUUAAAAGCCAAUUGUAUAUUUUUGUGUUGAACAGCUGUUUAAUUUUACUUAAGUAAGGUGCUCUCCAGAAUUGCUUUUGGUGGAAAAUAUAUUCAUUAUGUCAACUACGGAAAUAAUGUUUUCAUUUCUGCUUGCAGAAACCUUGGAGAAAACACAGUUCAUAUUACAGCAACUGAAACAUCAAAUAGAUAAAGGAAUUUCUAUAAUAGGAGUGCAGGGAAACUUGUUGAUCUAUGGUUGUUAUUAUUAUUUUUAUUAAACGAAAAGUAGUAUUGUAUAAAAUAAAUUCAAGAAAAAUAAUUUUUUUAUUCAUAUUCGCAAAGGAAGAUAAAUAAUAAAAUAUAUUUUUCACCACAAAACUAUAUUUCUUCCUCCCUCUCAUGGAUCAUGGUGGUGAUUAGUACAUUAUUUAAGUAUAUGCACUUUACUACAUUUAGGUUUCUUACUCACCAACAAAUAAGUAGUUGAAUUUUUGUGAAUAUGAUUCAUAACUUUCAUGAUUUUUCCUAAAACCAUUGUUUUAGACUGAGACAAGAUUUGUACUAGUAUUUUUGGAAAUAUCAAUUAAUACCAAUUAAAAUAUUGUUGGCAUGACCCGUGUAUGGUUGGAUCUCCCUUAAGUUAUAUUAAAUAUAUAUCUAUGAAAAACAUAGUAACUUGGAAAGACCACAUAACCUUAUAAUUAAAUUUUUUUAAAUAAGAGAAAGAUAAUUGAAAGUAAAAUAAAUAAUGAAAUAUAAAUUAAUUUUAGAGACUAAAAUAAUUAAUUACUAUAUUGACUAAACUAGAGACUAUUUUAUAAACUAAAAAUUAUUAGUAUCUAAAGUAGUUUCUGUUAUUAAUAAAAAUUUAUAAAAUAAUUUAUAAAUUCGUAUUCAACUAGUAAGGUUUUAGUUACUAACUACUUAUAUUCUAAAUUAGUCUCUAUAGGUUCUAUUAGUCUUUUAGAGACUAAUUUAGAAUAUAAAAUAUUAGUAGUUAAAACUUUAGUGACUAAAUUUAGAUAUCAAUUUAAAAACUGUUUUAUAAUAUUUUAUUAAUAAUAGAAAUCACAUUAGAUACUAAUAAUUUUUUUGUCUCUAAAUUAAUAUCUAAUUUAGUCAAUACAGUGACUAAUUAUUUGUUGUCUCUAAAUUUAGUUACUAUUUAAUAUUUUCUUGUAGUGAUAAUGAAAAAAAGUUUGUGAAUAGUUUAAUUGAUAUAAUAAUUUAAAAAUAAAAUGAUAUAUUUAUAAAAAUAACUAAACAAACACAAGUUUAGAAAUUUCAAUCUUUAAGCCAAUGUAAAUCUUAAUAGGGGAGAAAAUGUAAUGAAUGAAAAUAAGAAAAGAGUAAAUGAGAACAAAAAUGAAAUUAUAGCCAUGACUACCCAUUAUGAGGAAAACAGUUAUAUACAACUGGCAUUUAUAAAGAAAGAGAAAAAGAGAGAAAGGAACAAAAUUGUGUUUGUUGAAAUAUGUAGCACAAAUACUUACACAGAUAGAUACUUAUACGGACAUGGACACGAAGAUACGUAAAAUCUCUAAAAUGUAAGAUACGGGGACACGAAUCUAUAUAUUAUAUAAUUAUGAAUUAUAUAAAUUGACAAUAAAAAUUUACGUGCACAAGUAUGUUUCAGAUUACUUUUUCGGAGCAGAAAGAUGUUUUUCAUGACUGAUUCACAAUUAUUUGUUUCUUAUUUUUAUAAUCAUAAUAACAAUUUAUACAAUAAAGUUUUAAUCCCUCACGCCGAGACUGCCAACUCGUGCGUGGGACUAUAUAUUAUGGGUGGUCCGAUAGCGGCCCGAUAACGGGUGGCACGAUAAGCCCAACACAAACACUCGCUAGGAUAGGCUCAAAAUGGCUCUGAUACCAUAUUACGAAGUGGACUUUAAGCCUAACUCAACCCCAUAAAACCGGCUCAAUGGGGUGAGGUUUGCACCCAUUUAUAUAUUAUGAAAUGUCCUUAUAUCUAGUCGAUGUGGGAUCUCCAACACACCCCCCUCACGCCGAGAGUGAUAGAUAGAAGCUCGUGCGUGAGACUAUAUAUUAUGGGUGGUCCGAUAGUGGCCCGAUAGCGGGUGGCACGAUAGGCCCAACACAAACACUCGCUAGGAUAGGCUCGAAAUGGCUCUGAUACCAUAUUAAGAAGUGGACUUUAAGUCUAACUCAACCCCAUAAAACCGGCUCAUGAGGGUUGAGGUUUGCACCCACUUAUAUACAAUGAAAGGCUCUAAUCUCUAGUCGAUGAGNNNNNNNNNNNNNNNNNNNNNNNNNNNNNNNNNNNNNNNNNNNNNNNNNNNNNNNNNNNNNNNNNNNNNNNNNNNNNNNNNNNNNNNNNNNNNNNNNNNNNNNNNNNNNNNNNNNNNNNNNNNNNNNNNNNNNNUGUAUAUAAGUGGGUGCAAACCUCAAUCUCAUGAGCCGGUUUUAUGGGGUUGAGUUAGGCUUAAAGUCUACUUUCGUAAUAUGGUAUCAGAGCCAUUUUGAGCCUAUCCUAGCGAGUAUUUGUUGGGCUUAUCGGGCCACCUGCUAUCGGGCCGCUAUCGGACCACCCAUAAUAUAUAGUCCCACGCACGAGUUGGCAGUCUCGGCGUGAGGGGGUGUGUUGGAGAUCCCACAUCGACUAGAGAUUAGAGUCUUUCAUUGUAUAUAAGUGGGUGCAAACCUCAACCUUAUGAGCCGGUUUUAUGGGGUUGAGUUAGGCUUAAAGUCCACUUCGUAAUACAAUUGUCAUAAAUCUGGAGUGUCUGAUCUUCGUAUUGAAACACUUUUGCUACUAAUUAUCACUUUAUUACAAUUCCAACUUUCUUUUCUUUUAUAUUAUUUUCAUUGAAACACUUCAUUUUACAUUUCCCAUAAAAAAAUUCUUGUUUCACUCUAAUUUACUCCAUUUAAAGAACCUUACUUCCCACUUUAAUUAUUUUAUUCUCUAAAUUUUUUUCAUUCCCUCACCUUUUUUUAUCCGACAUCCAAACAAAGACUUUUAACGGAAACAAUAUGAUAACCACCAAAAUUCUAAAUUUUUUAAAUUUUUUAUUGUUUAUUAAUAAUAUUAUUAAAUACUUUUAUUAUAUAGUAAAAAAGUGUGUCUUUUUUUCUUUUCUUACAACUAUCAUCCAAGCCUAUAGUUACACCUAUAAAGACGGUUGAAAGGGUCUACAUCAAAGUAUGUUAUAAACCUUAUGUUGAUAACACUUACAACUCAAGCAAGCAUGUACAAGUGAGCAUCUAGAGAGAGUGUAUGCUAUAUACGAAACAUCUAAUGUUUACUCAAUUUAAAUUAUUGAGAUCUAUUUCAAUAUUUAAAUUUAAAAAAUAAUAAAUUAUUUUUAAAUAUUUUGCAUAAUUUACCUUUUUAUAAAUUUUAAUUAUUGUAUUGUAUCGUAUUUUUUAUUCUUCUUAUUUUUAUUUUUAUUAUUAUUAUUCAUUUACUAAUUGUGUGUUUGGUUUACACUAGUGCAAAAAGAUUAAAAGAAUACUCCUUAUUAAGUGCGGGUUUGCGAUUAAACGCAUUCGUAAAAAACGCGCUGGCAUUUUUGAAAUUAAUUUGAUUUACAAAUGCGGUUCUAGAGUAAAACCGCAUUUGUAAAUCAAUGUGCACUGAUUUACAAAUGCAGUUUUUCAUAUGACCGCAUUUGUAAAUCAUUGGCAUUGAUUUACAAAUGCGGUUUUACUCUAGAACCGCAUUUGUAAAAUCUUUUUACCCUAAAAUUUGAAGCGCGCCACUCAGUUUCAGACUUUCACUUUCUUCUCCGCUCUUCGUUUCCACUGUUCUUGCGCUCGCGUCCUCUCUGCAUUUUCACCAUUGUAAGUUUCGUUCAUUCAUUCAUUCAUUUUCGUUCCUUACUUCGUUGGCAUUGGCAUUUUCGUUCCUUACUUCGUUGGCGCAUUUGCAUUUUAGGUUACUGUUCCAUUGAUCUUCGCUGGUCUGUCCCUGCUCCGCCACCGCCACCGCUUCCGUCGCCGCCUUUGUCGCGUGCCUCUGCCACUCCGAUCACCAUCAAGUUGCUUCACGAAAAGGUUGGUGUUGUAUUUAAAAAAUUUUGAAUUUUUAUUUAAUAUUUUGAAUUUAUAUUUUUGUGUAUUAUAAUUUAUAUAUUAUUAUAUAUAAAUUUGUAUUAUAUAAUUUGUACUUUCUUAAAUUUAUAUUAUAUAUUUAGUUAGUUGUUAAUUACAUUUUAAUAAAAGUUUUAUGUUAUGUUAGUUGUUACUUUUAGAAUAGAAUUGUCGUGUUUGGAUUGAGUCCGGGGCGUUCGACCCUCGGCAAAUGUGUGAGAUAGAAUACUAAUUAUUAGAAAAUCCUUACUAUUCCAAAAUAUAUAAUGGAUCGAGGUUGAAUUAAUGUUGUUCGUAUAAGUGAUGAGUACGAAAGGGGAGUAGAGGAAUUUAUACAAUUUGUGCAGUGUAACGCGAUUAUUAGUGGUCAUGAUGGAGCAAAGAUCAGGUGUCUGUGCGUUAACUGUUUGAAUGGAAGGAUACUGGAUGUGAAUAUCAUGAGGGAACACCUGCUAUGUGAUGGGUUUCUUCGAUCUUAUACAACUUGGACAUGGCAUGGUGAAUUAUUAAAUUUACCACGUGUUUCCGUAACUGAAGAAUAUGUGGGUUCUACCAUGGAUGAAACAGUACACAAUGAUGGAGAUGAUGAUCGAUUGGAGGACAUGAUUCGUGAUGUGGGAGCUGAGAUAUGGAAGUAUGUCAAGAGAUGCAGAGACUCCUUUGUAUCCUGGAUCAACUAACUUCACACGGUUGUUGGUGGUGUUAAGAUUGAUGAAUUUGAAGGCAAUAAACGGAUGGACUAAUAAAAGCUUCACGGAAUUGCUCCAGCUGUUGAAGGAUAUGCUUCCAAAGGGAAAUACUCUACCUAAUCGUAAUUACGAGGCCAAAAAGAUUCUUUGUCCAAUGGGUAUGGAGUACAAAAAGAUACAUGCAUGUCCUAAUGAUUGUAUAUUAUACCGGAAAGAUUUUGAAUUGUUGAAAAGUUGUCCGAGGUGUGGGUUAUCACGUUAAAAGUUGAAACAAAAAGAUGAUGAUUCUAUUGAUGAGAUGGAAAAGCAUGGACCCCCAAUGAAGGUUAUGUGGUAUCUUCCCAUCAUUCCAAGGAUGAAGCGUUUGUUUGCAAACUCAGACGAUGCUAAGAAUCUUAGAUGGCAUGCAGAUGAGAGGAAAUGCUAUGACAUGUACUGACAUCCAGCUGAUUCUAUUCAAUGGAAGAAAUUUGAUGAUGACUUUCCAGAGUUUGGUAAAGAAUCAAGAAAUAUCCGACUUGGUUUAGCUACAGAAGGAAUGAAUCCGUUUGGUAAUAUGAGUACAAAUCACAGUUCAUGGCCUGUAUUACUAGUUAUUUACAACUUACCUCCUGGAUUGUGCAUGAAACGAAAAUACAUGAUGUUGUCUAUGAUGAUAUCCGGUCCGAAACAGCCAGGGAAUGAUAUUGAUGUUUAUCUAAGUCCCCUAAUUGAAGAUUUGAAGUUAAUGUGGGACUAGGGUGUUGAAGUAUUUGACGGAUUUGCUAAUGAAACUUUCAAGCUUCAUGCCAUGUUAUUUUGCACCAUCAAUGACUUUCCGGCAUAUGGUAACUUAUCAGGUUAUAGUGUUAAGGGUCACAAAGCGUGUCCAAUAUGCGAAAAAGACACUGCUUCUCAACAAUUGAAACAUGGAAGGAAAACAGUAUAUCUUCAACAUCGGAGGUUUCUUAGAAGUCAUCAUCCUUACCGGAGGUUGAAAAAGAGUUUCUAUCGCAACAAGUUUGUGCUGAGCCGAUUGAACCCCUUGUUAGUCCCACUCCCAAGAGCACAAAGGGGAGUUGUGCGGCUCCUCCAACAUCAGGGGAUGAUAUCAAUGGGCAAACAGAGGAUUGUGAGCUACUGGUAGUGGGCGGCAAACUUCCUCGGGUGGUGGCCCUUGGAAAAGUCUAUCAAAACGCCACCACCUUACAUAAUGUUCCUCUCUCCCCUGAUGUGGCGAAGGUAACAGUUGAAAAAGUACGAUUUCCUGAUGCUCNNNNNNNNNNNNNNNNNNNNNNNNNNNNNNNNNNNNNNNNNNNNNNNNNNNNNNNNNNNNNNNNNNNNNNNNNNNNNNNNNNNNNNNNNNNNNNNNNNNNNNNNNNNNNNNNNNNNNNNNNNNNNNNNNNNNNNNNNNNNNNNNNNNNNNNNNNNNNNNNNNNNNNNNNNNNNNNNNNNNNNNNNNNNNNNNNNNNNNNNNNNNNNNNNNNNNNNNNNNNNNNNNNNNNNNNNNNNNNNNNNNNNNNNNNNNNNNNNNNNNNNNNNNNNNNNNNNNNNNNNNNNNNNNNNNNNNNNNNNNNNNNNNNNNNNNNNNNNNNNNNNNNNNNNNNNNNNNNNNNNNNNNNNNNNNNNNNNNNNNNNNNNNNNNNNNNNNNNNNNNNNNNNNNNNNNNNNNNNNNNNNNNNNNNNNNNNNNNNNNNNNNNNNNNNNNNNNNNNNNNNNNNNNNNNNNNNNNNNNNNNNNNNNNNNNNNNNNNNNNNNNNNNNNNNNNNNNNNNNNNNNNNNNNNNNNNNNNNNNNNNNNNNNNNNNNNNNNNNNNNNNNNNNNNNNNNNNNNNNNNNNNNNNNNNNNNNNNNNNNNNNNNNNNNNNNNNNNNNNNNNNNNNNNNNNNNNNNNNNNNNNNNNNNNNNNNNNNNNNNNNNNNNNNNNNNNNNNNNNNNNNNNNNNNNNNNNNNNNNNNNNNNNNNNNNNNNNNNNNNNNNNNNNNNNNNNNNNNNNNNNNNNNNNNNNNNNNNNNNNNNNNNNNNNNNNNNNNNNNNNNNNNNNNNNNNUGGUUGAUAAGACUGUUGUGUGGUUCUGUUUCCUACACAAGAAGAUUCCCACAAAAUUUAAGGAUAUCAUUGAUACGUAAGUACAUUAUAAACUGAACUUUGUAUAUGUUACUAAUUAACCAUCUACUAACGAGGUUUUUUGUAUUAACCAGUUCAUGGCGUGGAUAUAACAUCCUAAAAGGUCGAUCAAGUUCAAAUAAUUUGAACUGGAUAAGAAUAAAGGUUUGUAAUUUUUUUCUUUCUCUAUUAUCAUUGUUUAUCAAUAUACUAACAUAUUACUUUUUAUUGAAUUAUAGUGUAAUAAACAACCAGGAAGCUAUGAGUGUGGCUAUUACAUUAUGCAAUGGAUGAUUAUCAUUAUAAGACUAGGUGUUAAAACUGGUUGGAAAGAGGUACUAUAUAUGUUAAAUCAUUUUUAUAAUUCUUGAACAUAUAUAUAUAUCUAAAAACUAAUUUAUGUAAACUUUGCAAUGCAGUUAUUCACAGAAGAAACACCAAUGAAUGAGGAAGGCAUUUCAUAUGUUAGAGAUUCUUGGUCCACAUAUUUCAUAAAUUUUUAUAACUCUAGCAUAGGUAAACAAUAGUGGUUUUAUGUAUAUGUAAUUUGAUUACUUGUAAAUGUAAAUUUUGAUGAUCUCAAUUGAUUACUAUAUUUAUGUAUUUGUCUGGCUGGGUUUGAUCAUUAUGCAGGUUAUUAAUUUAUAUGGUUUAUGCACAAUACAAACUGCACUUUAAAAAAAACACUAUUUACAAAUGCGGUCAUUUACCAAAACCGCAUUCGUAAAUGUGAUUUACGAAUGCGGUUAUUACCAAGACUGCAUUUGUAAAUCUUAAACCCCUAAACUCUCAUCCCUCGUUCAGAAUAAUAUACAAAUGCGGUUAUUUUAAAUAACCACAUUUGUAAAUCUAAUUUAUAAAUGCGAUUCUAUGACCGCAUUUGUAUAUCUCCGAUUUACGAAUGCGUGCGGAUCAAAUGUUGUUCUAUAACCGCAUUUGUAGAUGUAAAAUAGCCGCAUUUAUUUUACAUUUAUACCAUCAUUAAAUGAUAAUUGAGUUAUCAAAGAGUGGAAUGUGUUCACUCUUUUUUAAUGAUUGAUGUUUGUUCCAAUAUUUUCACUUAGAAAAUAAUAAAUUCGUUUUUAAAUAUUUUGCAUCAAUUACCCUUAAUUGUUUUAUUGUAUCAUGUUUUUUAAUUAUUAUGAUUUUACUCAUUUACAAAAAUUGUGUGGUUGGUUUUAUUAGAAACAGAAAAAUUUCUUAAAGUGUUCAAUGAUAAUUUGUUAAGUUACCAAAAUGUCAUAUCUUUUCACUCUCUUUCCAUUAUUGAGGUAUAUUCUAAUAUUUAAAUUGAAAAAAAAAAUAGUAAAUUCAUUUUUAAAUAUUUUAGCAUUUUUUAUAUUUUUACAAUAUUUAAUAAUUUUUUGUAUAGUAUUUUUUAAUUAUUAUUAUUACUCAUUUACAAAUUGCAUGUUUGAUCUUAUUGGAAACUUUUCGUACAAUAUUAAAUGAUAAUAUACUGAGUUACCAAAAGGUGUAGUCUUUUCACUCUCUUUCAAUGAUUGAGAUAUGUUUCAAUAUUUUAAUUUAAAAAAUAAUUUUAUUUUUAAAUAUUUUACAAUAUUUAAGUAUUUUAGUGUAUCAUAUUUUUUUAAUUAUUAUUAUUAUAAAUAAAAACGUGAUAAAUCAGAUAAUAUGUUAUAAAUCCAGUAACACACAAUAUUUCAAGUAAUGAUGUUUUAGCAAAGAUACGCAAAAGAUGGAUAUUAAGUACAACCCAUAAGCAAAAUAACCCAUUACGAGUACUAUAAAUAAGCAUUGACACACAAGAAUAAGCUAUGCUUUUAUCAAUAUAUAAUUCAUUCUUAUACAAAAACAUUUACUUUAUCGUCGAAGAACCUUUUAUCGUUUAACUCCAGACCGAAUAUCAGAGAGCAAGUACAAGAAGGAGAAAGAGGAGUGACUGGGGAACAAGAGACAAUUGUUAGAAACCGGUAACAGGUACAAUCUAAAACCUAUAAAAGUAUAUGUAUAUUUAUUGUUGACAUGACCCAAAUGAAGUGUGUGGUUGGGAUCUCCCUCAAAUUCCUAAGUAUAUAACUGUGAAAAAUAAAGUAACUUGGGAUGACCACACAACCUUAGAAUUAAAUUUUAAAAAAAUUUAAAUUAUAAGAGAAAGAUAAUUGAAAUUAAAAUACAAUGAAGAAAAAGUUUGUGAGUGGUUUAAUUGGUAUAAUAAUUAAAAAAAAAGAUAUAUUUAUAACAAUAACCAAACAAACAUAACCUUAGAAAUUUCAACCUUAAAGAUAAGGUUAAUCUUAAUAAGGGAGAAAAUUUAAUGAAUGAAAAUAAGAAAAUAGCAAAUGAGAAAAAAAAUGAAAUUAUAGCAUUAUGACUAAAAAUAGCAUUAUGAGUAAACAUAGCAUUAUGACUAAAAGGGGGAAACAGUUAUAUACAGCUAACAUUUAUAAAGAAAGAGACCAAGAGAGAAAGGAGCAAAAUUGUGUUGGUAGAAAAAGUAUGCUACUAAUUAUCAUUUUACUACAACCUUCUUUUCUUUUAUAUUAUUUUCAUUGAAACACUUAUUUUUUUACAUUUUCCUUCAAUUUCUUUUCUGUUUCACUAAUUUACUCCAUUUAAAGAACCUUAUUUCCCACUUUAAUUAUUUUCUUCUCUAUAUUUUUUUUCAUUCCCUUUCCUUUUUUGAUCCAAGCAUCCAAAGAGCUAAGGUCGUUAUCAACUUUGCCAUGUUUCGUAUGUUUCGUGACCUUGAAUGAAUAGCCUAAUGGUAGUUAAUAUAAUUUGGCAACCAGAAGUUCUUAGUAAUAAAGGACCCACAUUGUACCAAAUAUCAAUCACUUAAAGUCAUAGCCACAACACAUGAUAUUUUAUGUUAUGAAAAGACAGAGUUUGCUCAUCUAUAUAUACAGGUAUGGUAUGAACUUGAUCAGAAGCAUAGAAGCACUUAGUUAAGGAGAAUAUCCCAAAUCGAGAUAAAGAGAGAUAUAAAAGAAAACAAUGGAAGUGGCUCAGGUUCUGUGCAUGAACGGUGGCGUUGGAGACGCAAGCUAUGCAAAAAACUCUCUUGUUCAGGUAUAGUGAAAGAUGUUCACAACACUCUCAGCUUGUGAUCAUGCUUGCUGGCUGUGUUCAUUUCACCAAUUAAAAACAAAGUUAUAAAUAGAAAUUUGAUUUGAAGAGCAAUGUUAUACAUAAUAUACGCAAUAUUAUUGUUUAUGUUUUCUCUCUCAUUAGCAAUAAGUUCAGUUAUCACUUAAAACGAAUUUCAUAGUACAAUCAUUGGUUGUUUUGUUAUGCAGCUAAAGGGGAUUUGUUUGACAAAGUCAAUAAGAGAGGAAGCCAUAACUAGCCUCUAUUGCAGUGCACUCCCCAGAAGUUUGGCAAUUGCAGAUUUGGGUUGCUCUUCUGGACCAAAUACUUUGUUUGUUGUGUCUGAACUCAUCGAGACUGUGGAGAAGCUUUGCCGACAGCUGAACCAUAAAUCUCCAGAAUACAAGGUUUUUCUAAAUGAUCUCCCUGGGAAUGACUUCAACAACAUCUUUAAGUCCAUUGACAGCUUUAAAGAGAAAUUGCAAAAUGAAAUGGAAAGUGGUCCAUGCUACUUCUCUGGGGUUCCCGGAUCUUUCUAUGGCAGGGUUUUCCCAAGUCAAAGUUUGCAUUUUGUCCACUCCUCUUACAGUCUUCAUUGGCUAUCUAAGGUACAUGCAUAUGCAAAAUGGAGCACUUUUGUUAGUUGUGCUCACAUUUGUAUUUUGCAGGAGCUGGUAAUAUAAUAUAUGAAGUAUAGCUAAUAAUUAUGUAUUGGUGAUUAUAUUAGGUUCCUGAGGGUGUAGACAACAAGGGAAAUAUCUAUAUAUGUAGAACAAGCCCAUCAAAUGUUGUGAGAGCUUACUAUGACCAAUUUCGAAGAGAUUUCUGUCUUUUUCUCAAGUGUCGAGCAGAGGAAGUAGUUGAAGGAGGUCGUAUGGUUCUGACAUUUUUGGGGAGAAGCAACGAGGAUCCAUGUAGCAAGAAUAACGUUUGCUACAUUUGGGAGCUUAUGGCUUCGGCUCUUAAUGAUAUGGUUUCUCAGGUAAUGAAUCCACUUUCUGAGGAGGUGAAAACAUGAGAAUCUGACUUUUAACAUUAAGAAAGGCUUCUUUUCCUUAGUAUUCUCUUUCCUAAGUUUCUUAUAUAAAAAUUGUAUUGUUUAAUAUUAAUUUCCUAAGUUGUCUGUUGAAACAUAUAUAUAAAUCUGGAAAGAUGCAUGUAUAUAAAUGUUUUCACUGUUUUGCUGCAGGGAAUGAUAAAGGAAGAGCAAGUAGAUAGUUUUAACAUCCCACAAUACACUCCAUCACCAUCUGAAGUGGAAUUGGAAGUUCUUAAAGAAGGAUCCUUUUCUAUCAAUCUGUCUGAAUUGAACUGGGACACUCUUGACUUUGAACCUGAAAGGUUUGAAUCAAUUGGUGAUGAUGUGGCGCAGUGGAUGAGGGCUUUGGCAGAACCUAUGCUGGUUAGUCACUUUGGUGAAGACAUCAUUGAAGAGGUUUUCACCCGCUACAAACAAAUCUUGGCUCAUCGUUUGUCCAAGGAGAAAACUCAGCUCAUCAGUGUCACUUUAUUAUUGACUAGAAAAACAUGAACAAGAACUUUGCAUCUGAGGAGAAAACUG
rnacentral:lncRNA from 1 species